CUGGGAUAAGGUCUAAAUUGGGCACUUGGAUGAGACAUUCCCUGGGAGCUGCCAACCUUCUGGGUCCAGGGUGGUCACAGGACUGGCUGGCUCCACAUGUCCUCCUCUGGGUUUGGCACUUGCCCUAAUCCCCAUGGUGUCUGAUGCCAGUACCUGCUGCCUGCUAAAGUCCUCUUUUACUGUGCCCGUUUCCAGCACGAUUUGGAGCUGCCAAGGUGAGUGUGUGUGUGUGUGUGUGUGUGUGUCUACACAUCCUCCUUGGAUAUUUAACUAAAUAUUGUUGGCCCCAAGUGAGGCACAAAUUCCACAGUCCUUUCCAGCCUUGGACUUGUGAUUGGAGAAAGUGCCUGAGUACAAUUUGUUAGACGUGUAUAAUUCUCCCCACCCUUAAGGCCCUGGAGCAUGUGUCUUCUCCCUUGGGAAGUCCUUCAUUGGGACUCAGGCCUGUGUCUCCCACCCUCUCUGGGCUACAAGGACAGAAUGUGCCUUGUGCAGCCAGCUCUGAGCUCUUCUGCUUUUGUGCCAUUUUUGAAAGAUUCAUCUUGUUACCUCACAGAGGACAAGAACCCAUGUUUAAGAAUCGGCCAGACACUGGUUCGAAGCCUGAUUCUUGCUUAUAAGCUGAUAGUUAAUUCUCUAAGACUCAGUUUCCUGGCUGUGCCUCCCUCUCAGGGAGGAUUCAUGAGCUCACACACAGGAAGCCCAUGGCACGGGGCAGGCACUUCAUGCAUCUCAAUUCCUGUUCUCUGCUUGUCUCUCCUCACCGUAGCUGGAACAGGGCCGGGCUUGUGGUCAGCACCCAGAAAAGUAGUGGUGACUGAUUAAUGAUUAUGGAGCCUGCAAUUAUUGGGAAGAAGUCCCUAAACAGGGAAAUAGCUCUAAGCAAACCCAUUAAUUAGGGGCCUGUUUGCAGUUCUUUUGUGAGGGCUUGUCAUGUGUUAGCUCAAGGAGGUCUUUGUAGCCCCAGCCCCCACCUCCCCCCAGAGGUCAUUCUGGGAAAAUAAUGAUCAGGGAGAGGUUCAGGCCUGAGGUGUGCAAUUCCCACCUACUUGUGACCUUCACGCCCAUCCUCCCUCCCACCCCCAGGACCGGUCCAAUAAACAAGUUAACAGGUGACAAACACAGCCCUAAUAAAGAAGGCCACUGGCUUUAGGAUAGCAGUCAGCCUGAGCUAAUGGACUUUUACCAGGGAGGAGAAACUCCCCGAGGCUCCGACUGCUGACCUGGAGUGACCUCUCAGGCCAGGGGAGGCCCAGGCUAGCUCCCAGCUACCUCUCUCUCAGUCUUUUCUUUCUUUAACCUUCCGAGUACAUUUAAAUAAAGGAGGAGGAGGAAGAAUACCAAAAUAAAAUAAAACAUUAAAAAAUCAUGUUAUAAUUUAUGUGUUUAUAUUUAUCAGGUUAACAAACUUAAACCCUAAAUGUAAUAGGAUUUGGUAUUUCAUGAAAUUAUAAUUAUAUGAAUGGUGUUCUGCAAGCAGGUGCUAGAGAAACUACUGGGAUAACAUUUGAAGUGGCAUGGUAGAUGUCCAUUUCUCGUGGGUUAGCCCUCAUCCCACUCCAUGGGAAUGGUUCCAUGGGGCAGUUCCGAGCUCUAGCUCUGGCCUCUGUUGGUUGCUGAGAUCCUCUUAGGGACACCUAGAGAUGACCUCAUGCACAAGAGGUGGGUCUGGCUUCCUUCUAAGGCUUAUGGCUUAUGGCUCUUGUCAGGAGGGCAUCCCUGCUGGCCUCUGGCUCUAGCAUCUGAGGGUCGUGGAUGCUGAGUAAAUUCUUUAAAAUACUUGGUGGUGUAGGCAUAGCCAACCCGCUUUCAUUCACUUAUCUGAUGACUUCUGUUUUCCCAGUUAGUUGGGACUCACUUUCCCUCUUUUUCAUCCUUAGCACAUAAGUGCUUCAAAUACAUGCUGACAUAAACGGUGUUAAAUCUUCUCAAGCACCCUGAGCCAGGCUCCUUCUCCUGGAGCUGUCCUUCCUCCAUUUCAGAGCAUCACACAUUGUGCUGUGAUUACAUUGGUUCUCUUGCCUUUGUCCUGAACAGGUUAUGAGCAUCCAUGAGCAUCUUUGUGUGACUGGCACAAAGAAAACUGCCCCAAAUCUAUAACUGAAGAGUGGCUCAGAGAUUGAGUUCGCCCUGUCCAGGCUGCCAGAGACAGGCUCCCUCCCAACCCCAGUGUGCUUGGAAGCUACAUUUCUUGAUGAGUGUUUUCCUGUUUUACGUAUCUCUGUCGCUAGAAGCCGAUGUUCUUUUUUUCCGGGUAUCAGGGCACAUCUGGUUGUUGGUACAUGUUGCUUAGUUAGAAAGUCUUAAAACAGCAUGAAAUUGUUAGCACGUUGCUCGGGCCUGCCAAGCUGUUCUUGAAACUCAGGCUUUGGUGGAUUUAGUUUUCUGUUUGUUUUCUGUUUUCAUGCAGUUUAGAAAAUUGGUCUGUGACAACCUUGGGGGAAAUAAGCCUGUUUUGAGCUCCGCCAAGAAGAGGCAAGCCUGCAGAUGAGGGCUGAGGGAGGAGGGAGAAAGAGCUCAGAUUGGAGGGGCUCUGGAUUCCUUGCUUGCAUAGCCUUUCCUUGUGUUUUUGAUUGACACUCAGGCUAAUUUGAUGUGUGUGGAGAAGGAUUGCCCAAAGGAGGCGGGGUGAGCUGGGGAGAGGGUGGUCUCUGUAUGGGUCCUCACAGGGAGACCAGCGGGGACCAGUACAACACCUUUGAGUUCCAGAGGAGGCAGUCAUUCUUUCUCCAAAUAAAUGCAUGGUGGUGGGGGACGUGAAGGAAGACACCCCUUCCUCUUACAUUUGAUUCCUCUGCUAUCUUUGAGUGUGGGCAGUGCCAGAAAUCAACUUUCCCCACAUGGCCCCAAUAUGCCAUCUCCCCUCCCUGUUCUCGGUAGCUCUUGUCUCUUGGCAGAUUUCCUUUCUGGAAAUAAUCUCAUAUGGGGAAAGUCUGGGCUGAUCUGUUUCACUUUGGGUGGUAGUUGCUUUCCUUGUUGGGUAUGUGGGGCUGGCCAACGCUGCUUCUGGGCGGUGGAACUGGGCAUGGAGAAGGACUGGUUGGAAAGUUUUCCGUUACCUCCAGACGGGACUCAGUUUGACUUGACUCCUGGCAGUACAGACAGCACUCAGACAUUACUUUCUGGUCAAAAUGUCAACAGCAGCAUCCUUCCUCCCCCUUUCUGGAAACACUAGGGCUUAUCUUUGGUGCUCUCUGUUCCAUCUCUGACGGCUAUUUAAAAAUCUUUCCUUUCAUGUUUUUCCACAAAAGGAUGAUCUACAUUUUCGCCUUAAAUCUGUCCUCAGAUGAUGGUUGUCAGCUGUGCUCUGUUCUGCAUCUUUAUGAGCAAUUCUGAAGUUUCUACUCUGGCCCUUAGUGUCCCAAAUGGGACCUCACAGCUCAUCCUUGAGGACUCCUAGGUUGGGCCUUCUGCCUCCUUAACACCCCCCUGCCACCACAGGGGUUGAGAUAACUGCACCCCUAAACAUCGAAAUUCUUGAAAGUAAUGCUUUUUUAUUUGAUGUCUACACUGUGCCCCACAUUGAACAUGUGACUUAGAUACAAUGAUUUGCCUACACAGUAUAGGCCACUAAGUGACCUCCUCACAAGGAGACAUCCAAAUGCCUGUUUGUCUAAUAUCAAAGACCCUCCUCAGUCCUCCACACUAGGGGUCCAUGAGCUCAGGAAGAUCAAAGAUGAGAGGGCUUUGAUUCUGAAUUUUGGUCACCCCACCCCUGAUCUAGUACUUCUCUCACAUUCUUGGUCUUUUAUGCCCCAUUCUAAGCCCACAGGAGUGCCCUGUCAGCAUCUAAAUCAAGGCAGAACUCCCUUUGCCACCACCUUUAGUUUUAGUUAAAUAUAUGAAAUGGGUCUUUUAUUUUCAAUGUGGGAAAUGAAGAGAAUUAAAAAGGAAUUAAAAAAAAGCAUUGAAAGAGUUUAUAAAUUUCAAUUUUGAACGUUUGGCAAGGCUUAAAGGCAUGAAAUGGUGUCAUAUUCUAAUCCAGCCAAAUCUCAGGGAUCCUUGCCCAUUCUUAGGAAAUCGUCUUUUCUUUCUCCCAUCUCUGCCUCUUCCUCUCCUGAAAGGGUUUAGGGCAAGUCCCUCUCACAUAACCUACAGUGGGGUUCUGGGGGAAUCCAUGGAUAUGCUUCUGGAGCCUGUGAAUUUUCAGAAAUUGAAUGAAAAAUCUAUUGAAUUUUCAUAUUACUUUCUGCUGGGGAGUGGAUUUAAUAAGAUUCACAGAGAUGUUGGAGACUUCAAACAGUCCAAGAAGCACUGGAGGGGAACAGGGAACUUCCAAGUGAGAAUUUUAUUUUAAAGCCAAGUGCUAGGACAAGUUUCAGUUUGACUAAAUGAGCUUGUUUGCUUUUUCCUCCAAAAUUAAUUUUUUAAUGUGUGACACCAUUAAAAUAUUUCCAUUUUAAUUUUACCAAAAAUUUUUUUUCCACUACUGGGGCUUGAACCCAGGGCUGCUCUACUACUGAGGUACAUCCCAGCCCUUUUUAUUUUGAGACAGGAUCUCCCUAAAUUGCCCAGGCUAGGCUUGAGCUUGGGAUCUUCCUGCCCCAUCCUCUCAAUUAGCUUGAUCACAGGCAUGCACUACUGUGCUUAAUACUGAAAUGAUUCCACCUGAAUCAAUUCAACGUAGUGUAAAUGAUACAGGAAACGUUAAUUAGUUUAUCAGUUUUUCCCCCUCUUCCCACAACAGAAGAUCUUAGCAAGUGUUUCAGCCGUGGGAAGUUUCUACAGUAGCUAUGAUGCGGAGUGACAGAGGGAAGAGAAACAAAGGCUGAGGGACAUUUUUACUGAGUGUGUUCAGAUGUCUCUGUGAGGCAAAAAUGUCCCUGAGGUCAAAACAUCCUGCUUCAGUGUCUCUACCAGGAGAAAGUAGGUAGGACGAAGGAAGCCCCUGACAGAGCAGAGCAGAGUAGUUACCAUCUGUGGCCUGUUGUGGCUCACUGGGCAGGACAGAGUUAAUAGGAAAGUGCAGACAUCAGCGACUUAGAGAGACCCCUGUGAGCAGUCCUGUUCUUCUCAUCACCACGUGUGACUCAUCAUGAAGUCAUCCUGUCUGUCAGAUCUUGUGGCUUCCCUCCAUCACUGAGUGACUUAGAACACUAGCUUUCACAGCGGGGCAGGUGGCUCCUAGCUGGGGUGGAAGGGACCCUUGGAGCCAUUGCCUAGCUUUAGAAACAUCUGUGUUACUUAAACCUCAUGGGCCCCAUGUAUUUAUCUGAAUAACUGUUAGGAGGAUGGGGGGGAGGGCCUGGGGGAGAUGGAUGGUGUGCUGGAAAGUACAUAGGAUUUGGAAUCAAUCAGCCAGGUUCAAAUCCAACCCCAGCUAUGCCACCUUUGCUAAAAGACACACUUAAACUCUGGGGGAGUAGGAGGGGUGGUGUGUUUGGGCUCUUGAGUUAGGGACAUUUCCUCUCUCUGUUUUCCAUCCCUUCCAAAGAUUACUCUAUUUUCUCAUGUAGCACUUAUGGCAAGACAGACCUCAUAGAAAGGGGCCAGGGACCACCAAUCUAGGUGUUAAGCCUGGUUGUUCUGGGUUCAUGCUUGGUCUAACCCAUGAGGGUUGGGCUGAAGGCUUCAAUGGAAUUCAGUUUUUUAAGCUCAGUAUUGGUGGUUUUAGAAAGCAUCCUUUAAAAGAUCAGUGAUGUUUGAUUACUUGCUAAUUACCUGCACAUCUUGCUAAUGCAGAUGUGAUGGCUUGAGCUAUAUAGCAGUCAUCUUAGCACAGGAGGGUAUGGGACCUCCUUUAGCCAUGGCAGAGUUAUAAACUAGAUCCAGAGGAUGGAGGAAAUGCCAGAUAGCCUUGGAUCAUCAGUUUCUAGCAUUCUUUGAAUUCAGAAAGAAAGAAACUUCUGUCUUGUUCAAGUCACUGUUAUACUGGGCUUUCCUGUCAUAUCAGAUCUAACCCUAACUAACCCAGGGGUCACACAUUUGGAUUCUGGAGUCAUAUAAUCUGGAUUGAAACGCCACAUCUUUCAUUUUAUAGACCUUAAUUUGGGCAAAUCUGAUAAUCUCUGUAAGCCUUCAGUUUUCCUGAUUGGGAAGUGGAGGUCACUAUUGUACUUACAUAUUUGUAAUGUAUAUUAACAUGAUAUAAUGGAUAUGAAGUACAUGGUGCAUGUUCAGUACUCAAUAAAUAUUUGUUGCUAUGUUGUUGUUAUUAUCACCAUCCUCCUCCUCUUGCAGCAUCUAUCACCUUGGAGGACCACCUAGGAGCAGCUAUGGCGGACUAGGAGUCAUAUGUUCUGGAGCCCAGAUCCUCUGUCUCUCAAUAUCUCUCCAAAAGAGAAUUAGCUCAUAAAUUUAGGGAAGUCACUCACCUUCCCUUUACACAUCUAAAAUGGAGCUAAUAAUACCUCGAAGGCUUAUUGGGAAGAUUAAGUGAGAAAGGACCUGCAAGCAGCCAAUAGGAUGCACAGAGUGUAAUUUCACAAACACUGGUUCCAUUUGUUUGUCCUACUGGUAGGUGCUUUCACACCUUGGAGAUGAAUGUGGGUGUCUCCCUAGCCUUACGUUAUCCAUUUUCUUCUAGCCCGGGUAAAUUGCAAGUUGACGCAGGCAGCUUGGUGGCUGCAGUUAGAUAACCCUUGGUAGAGGGCCAGAGGCCUUACCUGGGCAGAGUUGUGCAACCCAACUAGGAAGAUCAGGCCUGCAGGCCAGAUGGCGGUGGUGGCAGGAUGUCACCAGGGUCAAGGCUAUAGGGCAGAGGUUUUGAGGAGUGGAAGGAAAACAGGCAUAGUUUAACAGCAGUGUUGGGGACCUUAGCGAGAGGGGGUAGGGAAGCAAGGACUCUCUUCUCCUCUCCUCAAGAGAAACUAUUUUCUUUGUGCCAGAUCUAACUUUAGAAUUUUUCAGGGGAGAGGCAACAUCUAAAGAGUAGUAGAACUAUGACACGCCCAUCUUCCUCCCUCCCUCCCUCCCUCCCUUCCUCCCUUCCUUUUUCUUUUUUUUCUUCCUUCUUUCCUCCCUCCAUUUCUUCCUUUUCUUUUCUUUCCUCUCCUCCCUCCCCUGCCCUUCCAUACUGGAGAUUGAACCCCGAGGCUCUCUACCACUGGGUACAUCCCCAGUCUCUCUCUCUUUUUUUGGACACAGGGUCUCUGUAGGUUGCUCAGGCUGACUUAGAACUUGCCAUCUUCCUGCCUCAGCCUCCUGAGUCCGGGCUUACAGGCAUGGGCCACUACAAUCAGCUUAUAAUGUCAUUUUAAAGAGCUGUUUUAGGCCUUUAACUAAAUGAGAUGAUUUAUGUUAAGUGUGUGGCACAUAGUGUAGUAGUAGCCUUUCUUCGAUCCAUCCUCCAUCCACACCAGCUGGUCCUCACCUUGUGAGUGUACUGUUCUUGGGUACCAUCUUCAGGGGCCUGGGCCAGGGCCUUCAAAUAGCCCUGUGGGACUGGAUGGUUUCAUGCCAGGUGAGCACAAGCUGUUGUAGGAAGUUGUGACACCAAGGCAUGGUGAGGAUGGCACCUGGGAGUGCUACACCAGCAGCCUAAGCUUCUCUCCUCUGUGCAUCAUCUGGAUGCCUCCCACUGGCCAUCAUCCUUUCUGCACAGCGUGGGCGAUGGACAGAAAAGAGGCCUUUUCUCUACUUCCUCCUCCAUCAUCUCUUGAGCAAAAACAAAGUCCUUUUGGAUUGAUAUCCACUUCUUUUAAAACUUUUUAAUUGAAUAAGAAGUUUAAAUUACAUAAAGGUAUAGAAUAAACAGCAGUAUUUCAUUGUUAGGUGAAUAAAUGUUAAACCCUGGACAUUUGGCCCAGAUUUUAUUUUUCAUUAAAAGAAAAAGCCGGACUGGGGAUGUGGCUCAAGCGGUAGCGCGCUCGCCUGGCAUGUGUGCGGCCCAGGUUCGAUCCUCAGCACCACAUACAAACAAAGAUGUUGUGUCCGCCGAAAAUUAAAAAAUAAAUAUUAGAAAAUUCUCUCUCUCUCUCUCUCUCUCUCUCUCUCUCUCUCUCACACACACACACACACACACACUCUCUCUCUCUCUUUAAAAAAAAUAAAAAUAAAAAAAAUAAAAAUAAAAGAAAAAGCCACUACUGAUAAUGCUGAAAUCUUCUAUGAAUGACUUUCUAAUGUCACAUGGAGGCAAUCUCACAAUUUUCAUGUGUUUUUUUAUACUUAUUCCAUGAACGUGUAUCCUAUUGAGAUCGUGUUAUUUCUUCCUCUGCUUUUAGAAGUUAUUCAUAGUAUUUCUGCUCUUUUGGAAGUUUCUUUUCUUUCUUUCUUUUUUUAAACAUCUGUAUUCCUAAACACCUUCCCCUGAAGAUAUACACCUUCUCCUAAAGAUGCAGGAUUCAGAAUGGUUUAGCUUUGUCCCAUUUUUCCUGCUACCAUGGUCUAGGAUUUCCUUGAACCAGUUUUAUCCCCCAUUUGUCAUCAUUAUUAUUAUUAGAAUCUAGAUUUACCAAAGUGUGUGUGUGUGUGUGUGUGUGUGUGUGUGUGUGUUUGUGUGUAUGAAUCUAUACUGUACCUCUCUCUCUCUGUAUGUGUGUGUAUGUGUGUGUGUGUGUGUAGGUACAUAUGUGUAUAUAUAUAUAUAUAUAUAUAUAUAUAUAUAUAUAUAUAUAUAAACACAAUUGCUUCUUGCAUUCCUAUUUCUCUCUUUGUUUUUCUGCAGGAAUCUUUUAGUAAUUAUUUCAAUGAAAAGCUGUGUUUUGUUAACUUGUAAUCUUCUUCUGAAAAUAUCUUCAUCCCUAGUCUUAGAUGUGGGCCAGCUGACUUUCUCUAGAGUAACUUCUUUCUUCCCAGCACUUCUAAGAUAUUAUUCUCUCAUUUUUUUUUGGCAGCUAUUGCUACCAGUAAGAACACUGAUAUCAAUCUGAUACACAGUUCUUUGAAGAUAAUCUCUUUCUCUUCUCCAGUAUCUCUAAAAUAUAAUCAUUUUCUUUGAUAUUCUGUGGUUUCACAAUCUGUGUUUAAGUAUGUAUUGGUUUUACUUUUCUAUGGACUUUUUCAAUCCAAGGCUCACAAGUUUUUCUCAAAUCUGGAUAAUCUGUAACCAUCUUUCUUCUAAAUAUUCCCUUUCACCCCUACUCUUGCUGGCCUCUCUUUCUGCACACCUAUUGAUAUUGGUAUUGAUUUUGUUAUUAUCAAUAUGGAUCAACACCUAUUGAUUCAGGACCAUUGAAACAUAUCCUCCAAGUUUCUCAGUUUCUUUUUCAUAUUUUAAAAAUGUCCCUAUUAACCAUGUAUUGCAUUCUGGAUGAUUUCCUAAGAUCUUUUUCAAGUUGCCAUUUUUUUUUUUAGCCAAAUUAUUGAGGAUUUAGGGGAAAAAUUAUUUUGGAUGAUUGUUUUUCUUUUUAGCACUUUAUUUUAGUUCUUUUGUGAGCCAAAUCUUCUAGCAUUCUAUGCUUGCUAUCCAGGCAACAUGCUUCUAGUUUUAAGGCAGGAAAGGUAUACUCAAAUUCCUUUUCAGAUUUUCCAUUACUGGAGACUCCUUGGGAGUGAAUUCCCCCAUUUGUAACACUUGCUGACGUUGCUGGUAUCAUCUCCUUAUGUGCUCGGUGACUUUCGUCUCAUCCUCAGCAGGAAUCAUCUCAUGCAGAGUCCUGGGCAUUUUCUAGGACAUGGGGAUAGCCUGCUGGGCUUGUUUCUGAACUUGGAAUUUUCUUUUCUAAACCAGUUUCUCUUCAAGCUAUUGGCUGAGUCCUUCGAUUCUCAGGAAGGAGUACAAGAAUUUGGGUUUUAUACUAACAUUUGUAGAACAAGUGCUCCAAUUUCUUUCAUGAACUCUUCUUGUUGGCUACCUGUACCUUGAGGUAGAGCUUCUCUGUUAUCAUCUUGAGCAUGGGGAGGGUUUUUCUGAUGGAAUCGUCCUUUAUGAAUGAUUGCUGCCUAGUUUCAGCUCCCAGUGGUGAACAGAAACUGUGGCUUUGACUUUUGUCUUUGUAGUCUUAUACUAGUCAGCUUUCUGUCUCUGUGACAAAAUAUUAAAGAAAAUCAAGUUAAGGGAGGAGAAGAUUUAUUUUGACUCAUGGUUUCAGAAGGUUUCAGUCCAUGGUUGAUUGGCUGCAUGGCUUUGGGCCUGAGGUGAGGGAGAACAUCAUGGUGGUGGAAGAGCUUGGCCCGUGUCAGCCUGGAAGGAGAGAGAGAGAAAGUGAAGGAGGAAGAGGAGGAGGAAGAGAAAAAAAGGAGAAAGAAGAAAGAAGAGGAGGAGGAACCAUUGCCAGAGACAAGAUAUAGUCUCCAAGAGCAUGCUUCCAAGGACCCAUUCCUUCAACGAGGCCCCACUUCCUACAGUUUCUACCACCUCUGUGUAGUUCACUUAGCUAUGUAUCCAUAUAAUGGAUUAGCCCGUUGAUGGGGUCAGAGUGCUUGUGAUCAAAUUACUUUGCAAAAAGCUCCACUUCUGAACAUUGCUGCACUGGGGACAAAGCCUUCAACACACAAGCCUUGUGGGGACAUUGCAGAUCCAAACCAUACUAUUAAGGCUGCCCUAAAGCAGUGCUUCUUGCAUUUCAGUAUGAGCAUAAUUCAUCUGGGGAACAUGUUAAAAUGAAGUUUGUGAUUCAGUAGUUCUGGGUGUGGCCUGAGAUUCUGCAUUUUUUUUUUGGGGGGGGGACCGUGGAUUGAUUGAACUCAGGGGCAUUUAACCACUGAAAAACAUCCCCAGCGUUUUAAUUUUUUUUUUUUUAAAUUUUGAGAUAAGUUCUCACUAAGUUGCUUAGGGUUUCCCUAAGUUGCUGAUGCUGGCUUUGAACUUGCAAUCAUCCUGCCUCAACUUCCUGAGCUGUUGGGAUUACAGGUGUGGGCCACCAUACCGGGCCAAGAUUCUGCAUUUCUAACAAAGUCUCAGGAGCCCCACCCACCCAUCCACCCAGCGAAUCUGAUGCAGGUCCUGUGUAUGGAGCAGCCAGGGGCUCUACUUCCCACUCUCUGUUCAAUAUUUUGUUUUUGUUUGUUUAUUCUGUGGUAUUGGGGAUUGAACCCAGGGCCUUGUGCAUGCAAGGCAAGCACUCUACCAACUGAGCUAUAUCCCCAACCCAAUACUUUGUUUUUGACAGCUGAAAAUUUCCCUCUCUUGAAGAUCCCUAGAACCUUACACUCUGAAUCCCAUCUCUUCUCAGUUCCAUCGAAACCCCAUUUACCCAUUAUUUGAAUUAGGACAAAGAAUGUGUGAAUUAUAGAAAAGCCCAAAAUAACAGAGGCUUAAACAAAGAGUCACAGAGAAGGGUUCAUUCAGAGUUAGGAAGGCUAGGGUCUGUGUUUCUUACGUUUCACUGCUUUGUCAUUCUUGGUGUGUCACUUCAUGGUUUAAAACGAGUACAAGAGCUCCAAAUAUCACAUUCAUGUUCUGAUCAGUAGAAAGUACCCUAGAGGUUGCAAAUGUUCCACUCCCAUCUCACUGGCUGAACUUAGUCACAUGUUGGCUUCUGGUUGCAAGAGUCUGGGAAAUGCAGUAUUUAUUCUGGGUGGCUGGAUGGAUGCCUGCUAAAACCUGGGGCUUCUAUUGCUAAGGAAGAAGGGAAAUGAUACACAGCCACAUGCUAUAAUCAGAAUGUGGUUUUCUAGAAUGUUAAGGUAUUCAUGUUAGCCUUGGAUCUAGAAGAUGGUAGCGUGGUGCAAACCAGCAACCAAGGAACACACACACACACAUUCCAAGACGAUAUUAUGCCCUCUGAUUAGUCUAAUCCUUGCACAGAAGGAAAGCAGAUUCUUGACUACUUAGUGAUGUGCAUAAAUGCCAGCAUUUCCCCCUAAAGUCUUGAGAGAAAUUUGCCAGAAACAGUCAGGCAAGAUAAAAGAAAAGAGAGGAAUGAAGAGACCCUGGGUAGCAAGAGCAGUGGAAAAUGAGUCAGUGGCAGACCUUGUGUGAGUUGAGAGCAAAGCCAGGCUGUGAAGAUGGAGAGACCCAGCAGCCACACAGGUCAGGCAGGAGCUGCUAAAGAUCCAGAUAUUCUCCUGCGUGUGUGUCUGGGUGUGUGCACCUGGGCAGGGCAGACCUAGAUGUGAGAGGAGUGAGGUGGGAACCAGAGGGAGACCUGCUGUAACUGGACUGUGUCAGUCCAGUCACAUUCUAGGACCUCUGAGUCCCAGAGUGGGUUAAAGAGAAGCUGGUCAGUAUAAGGCAGAGGUCUAAGGGUGGGCAAAGAAGGUCAUUUUCACAAAUAGACACCUACAUCAACUUUUAUGCUUAGUACCCAACACAAAAAUGGCCUAUUAUGAACCUCCCCAGACCACAGUAAAUGUUAUACUUGGUAACAUUAUAUAAUGCAUAUUAACUGCUCAGAGAAAUUUUGUAGUAAGUAACAAAACAACAACUGGUGUUGCCAUGUAUAAAUAUGUGUGUACACACACACACACACACAUACACACACACACCUUUACCUAUGAAAUACUUUUUUCACAGAAGACCUAUUAACUGCCUUUGGUCCUGGUGUUUCUCAGAGCACCCUCCGGGAAAGCCAUGCCACAGAUGGAUAAACCAAUUGCCUGGAAGAAGGAUUACUAUGUUUAGCAUUAAAUUCAGACAGAAGUAGCCCUGACAGCACUAAAUAAAGAGAACGCUAUGUGAUGUAGUGACAAUGUCUUCAACGACCUUAGUCCAAAUAUAAUGAUGCAGUUCAUGGGACUGUUUCUUGUAAUGACAUUUUAAAAAAUGCUGAUGGUAUCACACCAAAAACAGUUUAGCAAAAGUAAUCCUGCUGGGGCCGGUGUGAUGCACUCCAGGUAUCUGUGUUUUAGCUGCUCUGGCGGCAUCCAGGGAUUGGUGUUAGAAAAUCUGGAAGAGUGGGUGAACUGCUUAUCCUUCAAGCAAUCUUCUCUGAAUAGUGUUAUUUCUCAGCGGGGCUCUUAUAUAAAUAUUUAGUAGUAGGACAUUCAAACUGUACUCCCUAGAUGGCUUGAAGGCAGUGUUCUAUGUUAUCUUUUGAGGACCUAUUCAUGUAACUUCACUGAGUAGCUAUCAGGAGCCCUCCAUCACUGUCCACCAGCAACACCAGGACUCUCUUCUGAAGUUGCCUUGAGUCUGUUCCAGUGUGUCAAUGAAUAUGCAAACCAGCCCCUCACCCCCCCACCCAAGUCAACUUCAUUCAACAUGGCUAAGGUAAUGCCCGUGGCUAAGAAUGUUUGAGAUUGGUAUAGCCAGACCCUUGCCAUGGCCAAAUAAAAUCUUGGCAACACCCCUGAGAAAGCCUGGCUUUGAGCAAUGCUACUGUCAGGACCCCAUCCAAGACAAACUCUAUGUUAGUGCCAAGGUAACUGAAUGAAGUCACUUGUACUGGGUCAUUAUUCAUAAGUCAGUUAAAAUGUGGAAUGCCUAUCAGAGAUAAUAUAUUGAGUUUUAGGACAGUUGACUUGUGGGCUUGCUUUCUGGAAAUAAUUGGCUAGCAUGGCAAAUUUAUUUUCAGGUCACAUCUAAUUUGCGAUAAUAAAAUGUCAUCUCUCUAUAAAAGAAUGUCUGUCAUUUUGCUCUGCAUGGGGAGUUGGGAUUGACAUCCAGGAUGUCUGAAAGAUCAUUAGGAAACAAGCUAGAAAACAGCUAGGGAGAAAAAAUUGAGAACACAUCUUUAAAAUACUUGUCUGGAUGCUUUUUACAGUCGAAAGCCAAAUCCCACUGAUGUGGACCAUCUUUUGGAGCUGCUUCUAGACUGGUAUCAACAGCCCACGUUCUAAGGAGAAGCCAAGGUCAGGGUCCAUGUCGGGUCAUUUGAUAUGCUCCUGGGUUCAAGUGUUAUGGUAGAAUGGGAUGGAGUAGCUGUAUGUAAAGCCUGAAUGCUCCCUGACAUGUAAGAAUUUGAUAUUUUGCUGAAACAGAAAUUUUAUUUGCUGACGGUGCAAAGCUGGAGUGGAGAAGGAAACCCCUUACCAAUGGCCUCAAGUGUUUGUCUUUCAUCAUGGAAAUGCGAAGAAUCCUGUCUCUUUCUCUCUCUCUCUCUCUCUCUGUAGGUGUGUGUGUGUGUGUAUGUGUGUGUGUGUGUGUGUGUAUGAGAGAGAGAGAGAGAGAGAGAGAGAGAGAGAGAGAGAUAUCCAUCUUCUCCCAAAGCUGAUUCCUGGUGCUAGUGAAAGAACUGAAGAAGUUUAAGAAAAGGGACAUUUUAUGUUCUACACACACACACACACACACACACACAGAGUAUUUUAGUAUGUGAUAAAUAUGGUAUUGCCAAUAAAAGGGGAAAAGGAUAGAUUACUCAAUAAAUGAGAUUGGGUUUAUUGAAAAUUUAGGAAAAAAGUUGGCUCCCCCUUUUUCUUUCUGUAAAAAUUCAUUCCAGAUGGAAUAAAGAGUCAAAUUUAAAAAGCAACUUCAAAAUAUUUGAAGAAAAUACAGCUGAGUAUUUUAUUAAUCUUGGAAGUAGCAAAGAAAGCCACAAAGAAAACAUUUGUUAUAUUUGACUACAUAAAAAUAAAAAACUUUUGUACAAAACAAAAGGCAACAAUGAACAAAACCCCAAGACAAAUGAGAGCCUGGGAGAGGAUUGGUAACAUACAGUAACAGACACAGGAUUGAUAACUACAAAAUAGAGUUUCUUCUAGAAGCUAACAUCUAGGCAACAAAUAAUCAAAUGGAAAAAAUAUGCCCAGAAGAGAAAAGACAAAUAAUUAGAUGGAAAAAUACACAGAAAACAGAACCAGAUCAUUGGUAGAAGAAAUAGAUAACUUGAUUGGUAACCAAGGGAACUAAAAGUUAAUGAGAUUUUUCUAUUAUCAGAUUGAUGAAAGUUUGGGAAGGCUUAAAAUAUCUUAUGGGGUGGGGAAUAAUCUUGGUAGUGCAUAAACUGACUCUGUCAUUCAGUCCCCAAUAAAAACAUAUCCCCAGAGUGUUAAAAAUUGGACAAGACAGUGAGAUACAAUAGUUGUGAAAUUACAAGGUUAAAUCAUCACUGGCAGAAUGUUUAAAGGAGAAAGGAUUCUUGACAUGCCUCAUCCACCUUGAGAAUAUGGAAUGGGCGAAGCAGAGGAGAGGGAGACUAGAUCAGGAAAGGGACUUCUCUGGUGAGAGCUGUCGCACUGCUGUGACUCCCUCCCAUGGUGUGUGUGUGUGUGUGUGUGUGUGUGUGUGUGUGUGUGUGUGUGGUGUGGGAUGGGGAGGUAAAAGAUACAUGUGGCAGAUAGAGAGGCCAGCCUGCCCUCCCUUGCCUCCACAGGCUUCUAGCCUGAAGCAAACUGGAGCAGGAGCAGGGUGGAGGACAUGCUGUUAAAUCAAAUUAGAAAGUUUAAUUAUUGCACAGAAAUGGCAUUCAAGGCACCACAUUGGGACUGUUGUUUGUCACUUCAAGUGACUUAGUGUGUCAACCACACAAGGCAGAAGUGAAAAGUUGUGGACCUGCCAGAGCUUUUAGUCAGCAGUAGAGAAAGAGUAGCCACGUGGAACUGGUUUAAAGGGAUAAUGGGAGACCAACAAAACAAAAAAGCCCACAAAAAGACAAAAAAACUAUGCUUAGACUACAUCAGAAGUCAUGCGUGAUCAAUAUACUGGUUACAUAUAAUUGCUCAUUAAGCAAGAGGCAAAAUGGAGAGUCCCUGGGAAGGGAGGUGGUGUAUGGUGCAGGGCUUCACAGUAGAUGACUGUGGCUUUUCUUGUAAAUGUGAUCCUGGAGCAAGCCAGGAGUCUGUCCAGGCCUGGCUGAAUUUGUGAAUUUGGAGAUUCACCAAGACCCCCUGGUGUGCCCCUUGCAGAUGCCAAGGGUUUACUAUGGUAUAUUUUGGAAGGUUUUCCACUUUAAAAGAUCCAAUUAAAAUGAUGCCUUGGCACCUAAAGGAUUAGUCUCCAUUUGUCCAGAAAAUGAAGCUGUCUUGUUGGAAUUUAUAGUAUAGUGUUUUGAGGUUUUGCUAACCCAUCAUAGUCCCUGGAGAUGCAUGCAUGCUUCUGAGGGUAUGGAGAAGGCUUGUAGAAGACCUGCUGACCCUGCUUCUCAGCAGAACUUCUCUUCCUCUUUCAAAAUUCAGCUCAAUUUUACUUUGUGAUGCUUCUCCCCUUCCCAAGGCCAGGCUGAUUACCUCUUCCUAGAUGAACUAUCUAACACCUGCUGAAGUAUUUGUAUUGUACAAUUCAUAUAUAUAGUUUGCUUAUCUGCCUCUCCUGGAAGAUCUUCGGCUUUCUGAAGUUAAGAAUAUUGUAUUUCAUCAUUUUAAAAAAAUCUUUACUAUUUUUAUGUGCUGCUGAGGAUCGAACUCAGUGUUUCACAUGUGCGAGGCAAGCGCUCUGCCACUGAGCCUCAGCCCCAGCCCCUGUAUUUCAUCAUUUUUAACACACAUUUUUAUAUUUCUGAAAUUAGGAUUGCUUUUGAUGUCAAGCCAUCACAUAAUUAGCAAUAUAUUUUCUCAGUGUUACAUACUUUUUAUUUUAGAGGUACAUAUAAUAUGUGAGUGUCCCCCANAUCCCUUUCCCUCUCCCCCCUCCCUCUUCCCCUCCUCCUCCCUCCCUCCCUCCUUCUCUCUCUUUCUCUCCUUUCUGAUCAUCAUGUGAACUGCUUACCUCUGCCAUUCUUUUCUGCCAUGAUGUUCUGCCUCACCUUGAGCCCUGAGGAAUGGAGUUGGCCUUCUAUGGACUAAGACCUCUGAAACACUGAGCCCUUAAAUAAACUUUUCCUCCUCUACAGUUGUUCUGGUUGGGUCUUUAAGUCCUAGCAGCGAACAAAAUCUCACUAAAACAGUCUCACAAUUGAUAGCGACUUAGAAUUAGUAAAAAUGCAACAUAUUUAAUUCACCCAUUGUAUUCCUAUUCACCUGUACAUGACCAGGUAUGCAGCAGGUACUCAACAAUGAAAUGAACAGAUUUUAUGGAAGUGUGUUUUACCAGUAGGCAUCACUUAUCUAACUCUGGAAAAGGAGAGCAAGGCAAUAGGUAGUAGUCUUUUGGAACUGUAAGCAAAUUCCUGAAUGGUGGGGGGAAUGUAUUAGUGGGGAUGGCCUCAGCUGCUGUAACAACUAGAUCCCUAAACUGCAUUAACGGCAUUAAUGGUUCAAACUCAAGUUCAUUCCUUGCCAAUGUUAGCUGUCCAGAGCAGGUGCCCUUCUUUGAUGGUGGCAUCAUCCUCAGUGUGAUGUUUCUGGGAUAUAGGCUCCUACACUGAGUCCAUCAUCCCCUAGGACCACAAUCCAGGCCGAGGGUAUAGAGAGUGUGGAGAAGGCAGGCCCGUUUUGAAGUCUUGUUUGGUAAUGACUUGUAUUGCUUCUACUCAUGUUCCACUGGUGCUAGGAAGUAUAAUCCUUGACUGGAUGUCCAUUUUCCAGUUACAACCCUGAAUGAUGGAGAAGGGAGCAUAUAUCUGAGUGAGCUCCUGGCUCGCUUUAUAUUAGGGAGCCACUGGGCUCUUGCAUAUGACAGGUAGAGUUGUCUGCUUCUUAUUGCAAGUUCAAUUUUAGCUUCAGUUGACUUCAGUGGUAAAUGAGGCAAAACUCCAACUCUGACCAGUUUUAGUAAAAAUGGAAAUAUUCUGGUUAGGUAGAGCUGAGCCUAGGAAUGCAACUAAUGUCAGUCCUCUUUCUCCUGUCUGUUUUUCCUGUGCUGCUCUUGAUUCACAAGCAGUGACUCUCCAAAGAAAAAGAUGACUUACUGGGUCCUUUCAGCCCAGGAUCUCAGAAGGAAAGGGUUAGCUCUUUCUCACAGAACCUCAUUAAUCUCCCCACAAAGUACUCUGCAUGUCUCUAACCAGGUCAUGUGACCACUCUGGGGCUGAUGGCUGUGUCUGAGGAUGAGGGGAGUACUCUGAAGGGAGAGCUAGACAGCCCAGACAGUCUAGAUGAACGAAUUCCCUGGAAUGAAUGGAGGAGGGGCGCUUCCUAAGAGGAAGGAAUGAAGAAGGACAAGGGUGAAAGUUGUCCCAUGUUUGCAGCCACCACUACAGCUUUCUCUCCAGUCUCUCUCCAUCGUGUGUCCUGUUCUGCAGUCACCUGAACUUGAUGCCAUUCUCCAGUUAUCCCAGAUCCCUUCACAGUUCCAUGCUGGUCCAUCUUUCUGGAAUGGUCUUUCCAUACCUUUUCCUUGUUUACCCACCAAUUCCAGCUCAUCAUUAUCUCCUUUGGGAAGCUUUCCUCAACCCUGAUUCCCACCACCUAAAGGGGAUUUACAUUCAAAUUGACUGAGCCAUGAGGCCAUAGCAGAGGCUCAAAUAAAAGCAGGCUCUGUGGUUCUGCCACAUUAGCAGCAUGGUGUCUGAGGGCGCAUCUGGGCUGGCCUUGGAGGUGUAAAGUGCCAUCUGUCCAAAACAAAACACGAGUGCUGGGGAACUCCUCAUCCCCAUCAAGCAGGGACUGCAUGGGGGGAGAGGGCUGCGAGGAGUUGGCUGCCCACAAAGCUCCAAUUAGCCCCCAAAUUAUCUCCUGCGUCACGUGUGCAAGGAUUUCUAACCAAAAUUUGCUGGAAAAUGGAUUCUCAAUGCUUCUGUCUAUUUACCUAAUACUUAACCCAAGGAUAACAACACACAUACAAAUUUAAAAUAAAACACAUGUUGGUUUUUUUUUUAAAUAAAAAUUUGAAACAGAUGGUCUCUUUUAAGACAAAUAUUUAUUCCCCUGACAUUUUUUUUCACUUACAUGUUUAUAUUUUUAAAUAUAGGCUUUAUGCAGAGACCUUAGCGAUGUCACGAUAAUAAAAUCCAUGUUGUUCAUAAUUGUCUAUUUCCUAGAAAUGCGGGGCUGGGAGCAACCUCAAGAAGCUAUCCCUGGCAUCCCCUCCUCCAGGCAGGCCGACGUGCGACCGACCAGCUGAGACCAACUGGUGUUUAUUCUGUUUAUCUUGGAGCCUUUUGAGGAAAGAGGCUGUAAACUCUUUCUUACUGACUCAUGGACUCUCCACCGAGUUGCGGAUCCCUGGGCUGGGUGAAGAGUUCCUGGAUCGGGUAGAGUUCAGGGCAAAGUUACCCAGGGUGUUUUCUUUCCCAGUGUCUCCCUUGUUACCUUCUUAUUACUCCUUGGCCAGGGUUUGCAAUGCAGCCACUCUGGCUUUGUUACUGUGUCCUGUUGUGACCCGUUUCCAUCCUUUAUACCAACCUCCUAUAGGCUUAGCUCUCAUCUUGGUGGGGGCCAUCAAUUUUUCUUCCCCCUAAGGUAGGUGAGUAUUCAAAGGAAGAAUCAACAGGAGUAUGAGAUGUUAGGCAGGAAAAGAUGGAUACUUGUCAUUGACAAGAAGGAGCUAAUCUUUAGUCUGAGGGAACUUUCCUUUGUGAGAGGUAAAGUGACCUUUUCUGUAUUUUUGUAUCAGUUAGCUUUUGCUGUGCAACAAAUCACCCUUAAAAUGUACUGACUCAAAAAUAACAAAAUAUUAUUUUGUGCUAUUUUACUGUGGGUAGGGUGGGCAGAUUGCCCAGUCUGGACUGGCUUGGCUGGGGUUGAAUGGUCUAAAAAGCUCACAUUCCUGUCUGGUGUUUGGUCCUAUGUCAGCUGGAGUGACAGAGAACACUCAGCCACGUGUUUCUCAGCGUGAAGCAGGCUAGCAUGUGUUUGUUCUCAGGAUGGCAGUUGCAAGGUUCUCGAGAGUAUCAAAAGGGAGCAAGUCCUAAUGUGUAAGUACUUUUCAAAUCUCUGUGUUAUGGUAGUCAUUGUCCCAUUAGCCAAAGCAAGUCACAGGGCUAGCACAGAGUCAGAGAAGAAGGGAUAGCAGGAGGCCAUCUUUGUAAUCUUCUUGAAGACAGAAGGGAGAUGUCCCCGUCUUGGUUCCUAUGAAAUCUACAUGGCCUGAUAAGUUUCUCAGAGAAAGAAAAGAUUACAUUUCCUCAUUCCAGUUGAGGAUAAGAUUCAGUGACAUUCUUCUGUGCUACUCUUCCAUGCAACAUCCUUGAGGACAAAGACUUGUAUAUCUCCCACUUUCUGCAUAGUGCUGAGCAAUUAGCAGAUGCUCAAAUAGUUUCAAAUGAAAGAAUGAAUGAAUGAAAGAAUGAAUGAAUGAAAAAUUGUCUUCCUAAAAAACAGAGAUAUGCUAACUUGAUUUGAGUUCACCUUAACUCUCUUUAUUUGCUUAAUAACUAAAUACAUAUGAAAUAACUGACCUUAAACCAUCCUAGGUAGGGAGUAGUUUGAAAACAUAGGUCAAAUCAAGUCCCCGUCUUGCUUAAAUGUCUUCAAAGGCUCUUUCUGUUAGUCUUAUAAUAAAAUCCAGGCUCCUUAUUGUGACUUACAAACUCAACAUGAUCUGGUCUCUGCACUUCCUGUUCCAUCUCCCUAUUUCUCUUGGCCCCUCUUACUUACUACAUAAUGGUCUUCUGUCUAUUCUCAGAACACACACAUAUGUCACAUUAAAGCUUCCCUGCUCUCACUUGGAACUUUUCUACUCGAAAUGCCACCCUUUCUGGCUCUGUUCUUCACAAGGCUGGCUUCUUCUUUUCAUUCAGACUUCAGUUUAAAUGUCAUUGUCAACCCUGAAAGAGACCAGUCAAGCCUGAUCACCUACACUAAGGUAGCAACUCAGGGAUUCUUUACCUUCACAUCAUUUCCACCUUCUACAAAGCUCUUGAUUCUCCCUAUUGUUGUCUCUGCUUAUUUAUUUAUUUAUUUAUUUAUUUUUAAAGAGAGAGAGAGAGAAUUUUUUUUAAUAUUUAUUUUUUAGUUUUCGGCAGACACAACAUCUUUAUUUGUAUGUGGUGCUGAGGAUCGAACCUGGGCUGCACGCAUGCCAGGCGAGUGCGCUACCACUUGAGCCACAUCCCCAGCCCUUAUUUAUUUAUUUUUGUUCACAGUCUGCCCACGUCUCCCACUAGAAUUUUAUUAGUUCUAGGACAGUACCUCAUAUGUCCUGUUUACUAUUAUCCAUCCAGCAUCUAGAACAUUCCUUGGCACACAUGUAUGUGCUCAAGAAACAUUGGAGGUAAUAGAAAACGGUUGCCUACUCUUUUUUAUCUUAAUUUCUUCUUUCUCCUUGAUUUCAUGGGUAAACAAAGAAGCUCCUCCACUAAAUUACUUCGGGGCAAUUGAAUCGGAUUCCUUCUCUAUAAUAUUUCCCCAAACAUAAGCACUUGCUACCUGAUAUAGAAACACAUGAAAGACCUGCUAGAGGGUCUCCAUUUGCAUGGGUUGCUUGAAAAAAAGAAACAAAACCAAAACUUUAGACUUGAAAGUUAAGAUCACACAGCAACUAUUCUGUGAUUUCCUUUUUUGGCCACAACAUUUAUAAUGUGAUUUUUUUUCCUUAAAAAUAUUUUAAAAGUUAAAAAAACAGUCAAAUCAAAUGAUACCAAAGGACUUAUAAUGAAAAGCAAUGAUUUCUUGUCCUUCCUGCCCUGCUCCCCCCUUCUCCCAUUCUGCUGCUGAGAGACAUUGCUUUUAUCUGUUCCUGUUUUUCAGUUCUAAAUAAUAUGCUUAUGCCAUUCCUCUUUGAUUUAUCGACUUCAGGCACGAUCUUCUGCCUUCUGGUUCUGAUAGAUGAGGAUCCAGCUCUUGAUAGCUCUCUUUCAUGUUGCAGACUUUCCUCAGUGUCUGGUGAGCCUUGGUUGUCUGUUGGUGGGUGAGAAUGAGGAACUGGAAAGUCAGUGGGAGCUCUGGUUUAUGGCUGGUCACUGGGAAGCUUUGGUUAGGGUGAAUGGGUACUGGGUACUGGGGUUGAAACACCAGGAUGUGGGGACCUUCCUUACUCUGGCCACUACCAAUGACCCUUGCUGCUCCUCUUCUCCCUGACAGUGACAGUUCUCUAUUUCCAUUCUCCCCUCCUUCUCCUUUGUUUCUCUCUCCUCUGCUCUUUUCUUUCACUGUUGCCCAGGGCCUGGUGCAGAGGCUGCAACUGCUUCUGCCAGCUGAGGUCAGGGAAGUGGUAAAGUGCCUCUGACCAAUCUGUGUACAGAGUUUGAAUUACUCUCCCACUUCUCAUUUCCACCACCCACCUUGUCUGCUGACACUGAGUUGAACCCUCUCCCAGGUAUGACCAGGUGGGGCUGCUACAGCCCCUUCUAGAAGGUUCUAGGUGGUCAGGACUCCUAUUCUGCCACCUAGUUUUCUUUGUUGACUAAUUCUGUUCUAUUGGUUUUAAAUUUUCCAGAAAUGGACUGACAUUUUACCUCUGCUGAAGGACUCCUCCCAUUUUUUUCUUAUUAAGGAGUUUUAUAUUUUUUAAAAAUUAAAUUUGAAGAUUUCUCAUGAAGGAGAGAAAGCGAAGGCUCAUCUGCCAUGGGACAAUCUUGACUCUUCUUUCACUUAAAAUCAUUCUAUGCUGCUCAAUUUGUAUUUUCAUCAUUUUUCUUAAAAAGAUAUUUAUUUUGUAGAUGUUUGCUCUGAUAAAGUCAUGAUAUCCUUAGUCCACCUACAAUAAGAUAUAUUUUUCUCCAUUUGUUCCCAUGCUGCUGUCUUGUAGGCCCAGCCCAAGCAGUUGGUCCUAAGGUCUCCUCCUUCCUUUGCAAAUUCUUGCUUAUUUUCACAUGCUGAUUUGCCCACUUGAUGCCAUCAGCAAGUUCUCUGAGAACCUUUGAUCAGGGCAGCAAACUGGGUUUCUUUCAUCAAGUCAGAGGCUCCCUGAUGGUGGGGUCCACCUCCCUGUCAAACCAGGGACCCCUAAGGCUGUGAAUGAGGACUGCUUAUAAAAGGGACUGCCUCCUUCAUCAGAUUGGAGGCAACCUACCUACUCCUCCAUCUCUCCUUGGACCAGGAGGAUUUUAUAGACAUAUGUAACAUCUGUAUACAUUUGCAAGUACAAAUAAUGGUGAACAUGGGGUUGGAGAUGAGACCGUCCAAGGAAACAAGAUGAGACAAGCCUGAGGAAAAAUAACUGUGGUGUCCAGGCUGAUUGGGUCUUAGCUGGCUGUCAUUCUCUCUGUUUUGUUAAUUUGUUCUGAUUAGUUAUACAUAAUAGAAGAAUGCAUUUCGAUUCAUUGUACACAAAUGGAGCACAACAUUUCAUUUCUCAGAUUUACGUGAUGUAGAGUCGAACUACAUGUGCAGUCAUACAUGUACCUAGGGUAAUGAUGUUCAUCUCAUUCCACCACCUUUCCUACCCCAUGACCCCCCUCCUUUUCCUUCCCUCCCCUUUGCCAAAGUUCCUCCAUUCUUUCCAUGCCCUCCUUCCCCCAUUAUGGGUCAGCAUCCACUUAUCAGAGAGAAGAUUUGGCUUUUGUUUUUUUGGGAUUGACUUACUUCACUUGGCAUGAUAUUCUCCAACUCCAACCAUUUACCUGCAAGUGCCAUAAUUUUAUUCUCUUUUAAUUCGGAGUAAUAUUUCAUUGUGUGUAUGUACCACAGUUUCUUUAUCCAUUCAUCUGUUGAAGGGCAUCUAGGUUGGUUCCAGUUUAGCUAUUGUGAAUUGAGUUCUAUGAACAUUGAUGUUUGUGGCUGUUUCACUAUAGUAUGCCGAUUUUAAUCCUUUGGGUAUAGAACGAGGAGUGGGAUACCUGGAUCAAAUGGUGAUUCCUUUUCUAAGGAAUCUCCAUACAGCUUUCAUAGUGGUUGUACCAAUUUGCAGUGUCACCAGCAAUGUAUGAGUGUACCUUUUUCUCCACUUCCUUACCAACACUUAUUAUUGCUUGUAUUUUUGAUAAUUGCCAUUCUGACUAGAGUGAGAUGAAAUCUUAGAGUAGUUCUGAUUUGCAUUUUUCUAAUUACUAGAGAAGUUGAACAUUUUUUUCAUAUAUUUGUUGAUUGAUUGUAUAUCUUCUUCUGAGAAGUGACUGUUCAGUUCUUUAGCCCAUUUACUGAUUGGGUUAUUUAUUUAUUUAUUUAUUUAUUUUUUAAACAAAGAAUUUUUUUUUUUAAUAUUUAUUUUUUAGUAUUUGGCGGACACAACAUCUUUGUUUGUAUGUGGUGCUGAGGAUCGAACCCGGGCCGCACGCAUGCCAGGCGAGCGCGCUACCGCUUGAGCCACAUCCCCAGCCCCAGGGUUAUUUAUUUUUUGGUGUUAAGUUUUUUAUAUAUCCUGGAGAUUGUGCUGUCUCUGAUGUGCAUGUAGUAAAGAUGUUCUCCCACUCUGUGGGCACUCUUUUCACAUUAUUGAUUGUUUCCUUUGCUGAGAAGAAGUUUUGUAGUUUGAAUCUAUCCCAUUUAUUAAUUCUUGAUUUUAUUUAUUAUACUUUAGGAGUCCAGUUAAGGAAGUCAGGACCUAAUCUGACAUGAUGAAGAUUUGGGCCUACUUCUUCUUCUAUUAGGUGCAGGGUCUCUGGUCUAAUUCCUAGGUCCUUGAUCCAUUUUGUGUUGAACUUUGUGCAUGGUGAGAGAUAGUGAUUUGAUUUCAUUUUGCUGCAUAUGAAUUUCCAGUUUUCCCAGCACCAUUUCUUGAAGAGGUUAUCUUUUUUGCCAAUGUAUGUGUUCGGCACCUUUGUCUAGUAUUAAUGUGGGUUGGUCUCUGUGUCUUCUAUUCUGUACCAUUGGUCUACAUGUCUAUUUUGGUGCCAAUACCAUGCUGUUUUCAUUAUCAUAGCUCUGUAUAUAGUUUAAGGUCUGGUAUUGUGAUGCCUCCUGCUUCACUCUUUUGCUAAGGAUUGCUUUGUCUAUUCUGGAUCUCUUAUUUUUCCAAAUGAAUUUUAUGAUCACUUAUUUUAUUUCUACAAGAAAUGUUGUUGAGAUUUCAACUGGAAUUGUAUUAAAUCUGUAUAAUGCUUUUAGUAGUAUGGCCAUUUUGACAAUAUUAAUUCUUCCUAUCCAAGAACAUGGGAGAUCUUUCCAUUUUCUUAAGUCUUAUUAUUAUUUCUUUAGCUGGCUAUCACUCUUAACCUCAGAGGUACUCUCUCUUGAACUCUACUAAGGCUUUCCUGACUUGAGGAGCCUGGCUGUUACCUUUCUCCAACAGCUCUGGCUUCCCUUCAAGAGGGCCUCUACAGUUGGGUGAUGGUGCCUGUCUGUAGUCCCAGCAUUUUGGGAAGCUGAGGCAAGAGGAUUGUGAGUUCAAAGCCAGCCUCAGCACCUUAGUGAGACCCUAAGCAACUUAACGAGUCCCUGCUUCAAAACAAAAUAUAAAAAGAGGUGAAGAUGCGGCUCAGUGUUAAACACCCUUGGGUUUGAUCCCCAGUACUGGAAAAAAAAAAGAGGGCUUCUAUAGGUCAGGUGUGGUGGCACAUACCUGUAAUCCCAGGAUUGGGUGGCUGAGGCAAGAGGAUCUCAAGUUCAAAGUCAGCCUCAGAAAUUUAGUAAGGCCAUGAGCAACUGAAACCCUAUCUCAAAAUAAAAAACAGACUAGGAUGUGACUUAAUGGUUAAAUCCCGUGGGUUUACUCUCUGGUAUCAAAAAAAAAAAAAAAGAGGGCCUCUAUAGGUGAAUGAACCAACCAGAGACCUUCUCUGAUCACACAAAAGAAAUCUGUUGCCCUUACAACAAUAAUAAUAACUAGAGGACCAGAAAAACGGAAGUGCUAGUCUUACUGGGCUCAAGAAAGGCCCAUAUAUUUGAGUCAUUUUUUUCCCAUCCCUUCAGUGCAUUACCAAAGUCUAAUUUGAAUGAAAUCCAACUGCACUGGAAGCUGUAAGUAAAAACUCAGGUAUGGGUAUGUGACACUAUGAAUAAUUACAUGGCUAUGGGUAAGGAAAGGAUGGAGUCAGGACUGAUCAAUAAUUCAAAAGGGAAAACUCAAAUUAGCAAAUUAACUAAGGUAGUUAUAUCACAAAUAUAUUAUAGGAUGACAUGUAACCAUUAUAAUUUCUUUUUGUGAAAUACUUUUAUGAGAGACCUAUACAACUUUCUGUGUAGUAUAAUUGCAUUUUAAUUAAAAAUAUCUGAUAAGCAGAUGCUCCUCUACUUGCAUUGGGGCUAUGACUUGAUAAACCCAUCAUAAGUCAAAAAUGCAUUUAAUCCACCUGCUUACUGAGCCUUGCAGCUUAGCAACACAGCACAUGGCACAGGAGGGUUGUCUCCCUUCAUGAUGCUUCCUUAACUGGGAGCUAUGUCUUGCUGUUGCUGCCCAGUCCUGUGAGAGGAUGGUACUGCAUAUCCCCAGCCUGGAAAAAGAUUAAAAUUCAAAAUUUUAAGUACAGUUUCUACUAGAUAAUAUUAUUCUUGCACCAUCACAAAAAUAAAAAAUGUAGUAAGUUGAAUUAUUAUAAGUCAGGGACCAUUUUUCUCUAUUCUAUAAGUUCAUUUUUUUUUGGGGGGGAGGGAAUAAGCACCCUCAUUUGAUAAGAUAAACAAUCCUUUUUUUAUAUUUUAUUUCAAAAAAAUUUUUUAUAUUUUGGUACCGGGGAUUGAACUCAAGGGCACUCGACCACUGAGCCACAUCCCCAGACCUUUUCAUAUUUUAUUUAGAGACAGGGCGUCACUGAGUUGCUUAGCGCCUCACUGUUGCUGAGGCUGGCUUUGAACUUGUGAUCCUCCUGCUUCAGCCUCCCGAGCUGCUGGGAUUACAGAUGUGAGCCACUGCGCCCGGCUCAGUCCUUUUUUUUUUUUUAAUAUUUUUUAAGCUGUAGAUGGACACAAUACCUUUAUUUUAUUUGUUUAUUAUAAUUAUUUUUUUAAUGUGGUGUUGGGGAUUGAACCCAGUGCCUCAUGCAUGCUAGGCAAGUGUUCUACCACUGAGCCACAACUCCAGCCCCAGAUAAGCAGUCUUUAUAUUCUGGAUUUUCUGUUUUCAUCAUUAAGUGAGCAUUAUUAUUUUUCAAUGAUUUCUUUUCCCCCAGAAAAUAGCAUAUAGAGGGGCUGGAGUUGUAGCUUAGUGGAAGAGUGCUUGCCUAGCAUGUGUGAGGCACUGGGUUCAAUUCUUAGCACCACAUAUAAUUAAUAAAAUAAAGGUCCAUCAACAACCAAAAAAUAUUAAAAAAAAAAAAGAAAAUAGCAUGUAGUAUAUAGAAAGUAUUUACCAGAGCUUGCACACUCUGAUUCUUACAGAAUUCAGAAAGGCAAUGAAAAAGAGUAAAGUGGACUUGAUAUAAGAAAAAUCAACUACCAGAAAUGUAAUCAAGCAUUCUUUCAUUUCUACUUGACCGUGGCUUAAGCACAUAUAACAUAAACACGUAAGAUAUUGGAGAUUACAUAUUAAGUUUGAAACUGAAAAACCUAACAUUUGAAAAAAUAGAAAUAUGUAAUUAUUAAUUUUUCUUCUUUCAUACCUCGUUACUUCUUUGCUUUAGAACCGAAAUGUGACACUUUUUCUUUGGCCUCAACAUGUCAAUGUUGAGUCUUGCAUUUCAUAUUGCGAAGUGCUGUAUAGAAUUCAACCUUGAAUCUUUUAACUGAAAGCAAUAGUUUUAUUUAGUUUCAUAAUGGAAAACAGCUGUUCAUGGCUGAACAUGGAUAGAAUCUUUGUACGAUGGUUUUUAUAUUUAGGGUAACCACUCCUGAGAUAUUUGUAGAAUUCUGGCAUUCUAACAUUGCAAAUUUUAGUUUUUAGGACUAAAUUGUAGUCCAAACAUUCCAUUUAUGGCACAAGGUUAAUUGAGAAAGACAAAUUUUAAAAGUUCCGUGUAUGUACAAUAUUAAUUGAGAAAGGUGAAUUUUCAUAAAAUUAUAAUCUUUUUUGGAAAUCUGUCUUUAACUCCACAAUUUGUGGAAAAUAGUUGAAGUAACCUCUUUCAUUUCUGAAGAUUGAUUUCAGCAUAGGAAAGUGGGCCAGAUUAUUCUCCACUAAAUGAGUUUCCCUAGGAUAAAAUUCCACUAAGAAUGAACAAACUGAAGAGCCCACUCGAAUACUUGUGAAGAUUUUUAUAGAGAAGCACCCAAAAGUGUUGGAUGGCUUGUGAUAUUUAUUGAAAAAGUUAAUCUGUGAUCCAAUAUUUGCUGGUUGGGUGAGUAUUUUUGUUGGCUGAUAUGAACAUGCUACUAAUUUUUGCACUGUUCUCCCCAUCCCACAAACAAGAGACCCCAACAUUACUAUCUUUCAUUUAUUAGAUCAGAUGAAUGUCACCACUAUUGCUUAUUUAAUUCAUCAAAUAAAGCAUUGAAAUCUAUUCUUUGACCAUUGGGAGUGUCUCCAGAGGCCCAUAAUAUGUUCUAUUUUAACUUUUUUAGCACUUCUUGGCGAAUUAUUUAGUUUACAUGAUUGUGUGAAAUCUGCCACCUUGGAUUUAAGUUUCAUAACAAGGUCAGUGUUAAUGCUGACCAUCUCAGGAGCUCUGUUUCAUAGCCAAGCUUACUAAUCUUGACCUGUCUGUUUUAAAUUUUUCAAGACUUCUCAACACACAAAGCUAAGUCAUUUCCUGAAAUUGUGCCUCUGAUGGACACCAUGCCCCAAAGUUCUCCAAUCGCAUUGAAGUCUCUUGGAACCAUAAAUAAAUAUAACUGACUGGGUGGUAUUAUUUAAACGGGGCUCUCUAUAAGCUUCACUAGGAAAUGCCACAAAUGAUUUAACUUUUUCACACAACCUGUCCUGUAAGUUCUCAGCCAUGUCGUCAUCUCAUUGAGCAACACCGUUUCUGUUUAGUCUUCCAUUUGAAAAUACUUGUUUUUGUUCAAGGCAGGAAUUUCUGUCCUUAGUAGAUAUUCUUUUAUAAACUCACCAUUCAUAAGAGGUUGUAAUGCCUGACUGAUAUUUUCACCUUCUCCAUAACUUCAUUUCACAAUUUGCAUCACUUGUUUUAUUUGCAUUGAAAAAGAAAACAUAUUGAAACAUCAGUCCUUUUUUUUUUUUUUAGGUCAUUAAGUUUCCAUAUACCAGUCAUGGCCUCUUUGGUUAGACUGUUUUGAUAGAUAUACAUUUCAUUUGCAUGUCAAACUUGGAAGAUUGUUUUUAACUGAUACACAUAAGAAUAGAUAUUUUCCAAAUUUCUUUGCCAACAUGCAGACACAACAGCCCUCUUUGUUGCUUCUUGGUUCUCUCUCUCUCUCUCUCUCUGUAUGUAUGUAUGUGUAUAUGUAUGUAUGUAUAUAUAUAUAAUAUAUGCAAUAUAUAUACACACAUAUAUAGUUUAUAACUUCAAAAUGCAUGCACAUGUGCACAUACAUACACAUAAGUUUACUUGCUUCUUAAAUCUAUUAAAGAUAAACAUAGUUCAGGAUGAUGAUUGAUAAGUACUGACCCUCAGACUCAGUGAUGGGUAGAGAAUAGGUUUUGUAGGGUGUGUAGCAAUAUGGAAAAUUGCUCAGGUCUAGUGAACUUAUUCCCUGGUGAAAUGUGAUUCCAUUCCAGAAAUUCUAAAUUUCUAAAACUUUUUUAUAAUGUACAUAUAAAAAUGUGGUUUUAUUUCAAGGAUAUGGCUUGAUGAAUUUUCAUAAAUAGAACAUGGUGGAAUAGCCUGCAGCUAGGUCAAGGAACAGAACAAUAUCAGGAUUCAUAGGGCCCCCUCACACUCCCUUCCAGUUGGAUCUUUUAUUUUUUAAGAUAAGAGCAUGUGAAUUCCUAUGUGAACUGUUCAAUUCAUCUUAAAUUUUGUCAAGUAAUUCAAAACACUGAAAACCAAACCACUGUGGGUCAAACCCAUCAGAAUGGGCCCAGAGGACUCCAGUUGAAACUUUGGGUGUCCAUGCUUUUCUCAGUGUCUGGCAGCUCACACCACACUUCCCCUCUGGAGGGGUGGGCUCAGCUUUGUGCUUCAUGAUCCCAAACAUGGUUGAUUGGUGUCUUUCUUUGGGAUUUAGGAAGCAGGAAGGACACUGGAAUACUCUUCAGCCAGUGAUGGUGUUGAAGGUGGUGCUGCUGUGGCCCCAGGACUGGAGUGGACCCUAUUCUACCUUGUCAGUGACAGCAAGAAAGCUGGUGUCUACAGAGAAAAAUGGAGCAGAUGUGCAGAGGAGGACAGAUCUAACACACAGUGAGAGGGACUGAGAGAGUCGGAGAAGCUACCCACUUUUGCAAUUUCCAGUCCUUGGUUUCAGACCCUCCUGAGACCAGUGUACACUAGAGACUGUGGAGCUAAAUUAGGCUGUUAAUACUUCUCAAAGAAUUCAGGAGAAGCAAUCAGGUGUGUUAACCAUUGGUGAGAGCCAAUGACUGGCCCUCAAGUGGGCAGGGGUCUCUCUGUGAAAGGAGUCUGUCCACUUAGAGCUAACCCCUAAGCCAGUGAGCUGGAGUAAGGGGUAGGCAGAAGAUGGAAGUUCGCUCAGGUGAGCUCAUAGCAGGGUUCUUAUUUAAGGAAUGAUAGAGAUUGAAUGAUUAUUCUUAAUUCUUCACUCUCUCCCUGUAAUAGAAUUACAUGUUCACGCCUUUUGCCAUAUAGCUUUGCACAUAUCCUACUAGAAUAGGUGAAAAAAAUAUUCCCAUCUCUUCAAUGGUGGACGUGGUCAGUUGACUUGCUUUGGAUAAUGAAAUACAGAUGAACUUGACAAUGAGGUGAGGUGAGGUCUUCAGAGUCAUGGAAAGUUGCCACUGGCUACCAACCUCCCUUUUUUUGAUGGUACUAGAGUUUGAAGCUCUACCACUGAGCUACAUCCUCAAUCCUUUUUAUUUAUUUAUUUUUUAAAUUUGAGACAGUAUUCUCUCAGUUGCCCAGGCUGGCCUCAAAUUUGCUAUCCUCCUGCCUCAGCCUCUUGUGUUGCUGGGAUUACUGGUAUGUGCCACUGCACCCAGCUCCACUAGUCUUUUCUUGUAUCCUUCCAUCCAUAAUGAGAAGAGUCUGCCCCAGGAAGUUGAGGGUCCCAGAAAUAUAUGAAACUGAUCUGUACUUGACCCAGUGCUUGAUUCAGAGCCUCUCAACCCAACCCACAGAUUGUAAAUGGGAAAAAUAAAGAUUAUUUUUUUUAAAUAAGCCACUAAGACUAUGGGAUUGUUUAUUACUUGGUAAUGGCUGACUAAUACAGAGAAGAACUGAAUCCUAGGAAAAAUGUACAAUAGAAGCCAAGGAGCCUGGUAGUACCCAAAUGGGCCCAGCCUGGAGAAGGGGAGGGGAGAGUCAGACUCAGAGGCAACAUGAGUAGUCAUGUGGAUUCUUACAGGUCAUCCCAGAGGGCACCAGACCCAUGUAUGAUUGGAAGAGGGAAAUGAGAGUGGUCUGGGGGAAAUACCUGUCACCUCAUUGAUCAUCUGGCUUGAAGGGAAAAUCAGGAGGAACACAGGAGCCAAGCAGCUGUAACUGAGCUGGUGACAUUAUUCUAAGCCAUUGUGUCAGCUUGGGCUUCAUACACUCCCCAGGUUGGUCAGCACUGACCCAGAAACUGGGCACAAUGGUGGAUCUUGUUGUGAAGGACCUGGGAAGGCAUGAGCAGAAAAACAAAUUGGAGAAUAUACAAUCUCAGCUCCCAAAUGCUUCCAGGUGUCUCUGUGCACGGGUGUGCGUGUGACGGUUUAUCUCUUAUAAUAAAUCUGUUGGUUGCUGUCUACCUUCUUGCUGUGUUCAUUUACAGCUCAACCCAGGGUGGGUUUGAGGCUGGGAGACCGAUACCCUUUGUGACCCUUUCACUCAGUUUCUGCAAACCUGCAGCCUUGAACUAAGCCUGCAGAACCACAGACCCCAUAGAACAGCUAGCAGAGCAGGGCAUAAUGUGGUGGUCAGUGGCUUGUGUUGCCACAGUGGGGGAUGCUGGGCAGGAGCACAGACAGAGGGUGUUUCUGAUUUUCUAUCUUGAAAUUCCUUCCCUCAGGGGCUUCCAAGCUCAGGAAGCUCUUGUCAUCUCCUAAUUGAGGCAGAUGAGGAUGCACGUUCUGUUGGGAGGCAUUUCCACUUAAUCAAGGCCAGCCAUAUCCACGCUCUAGGAUUAGGCAGAGAGCUGCAGGUCUGCACAGUUGCUCAGGCAGCCUGUUUUCUGUCUUCGCUACCUUGUUAUCUGGCCCUUCUCUGAAUUCCUGUAGCUUUUCCAGGACUUAAACAAUGAGAUUAACAGCUAUCAUUGUUUGAAUGCCUACCAUAUGCUAGGCUCUCAUGUGAAUCUUUUACAAAUAUUAUUGAUAACAACAACAGCAAAGAUAACUAAUAUUUAUUAAGCAUUUACUAUGUGCCAGGCACUGUGCCAAACUCAGCCCAUGUAUUAACUCAUUGAGAAUCCUGACAAUAAGGCAACAUGGGCCUCAUUAUUUUUACAUACAAGUAAUAAAUGGUGGAGUUAGGAUUUGGAUGUAGAUUGGUCUGAGUCCAGGGCCUCUGCUGUUUUAAUUUGUGAUGUGCUCUUGCUUGGUCUUGCUCUCUAGUCAGGCCAGGGCACUGUUAGCUGAGAUAAGCUGGGGCAGACACAAAGGGCUAGGACAUGAAAUUAGAGCAGGAGGGUGAACAAAGUGUGAUGAUCCUCCCCAAGAAGUUUAGUAAGCAGGUGGGAGCCCUGGCCCAUGCCUGUAACCCCAGCAGCUUGGGAGACUGAAGCGGGAGGAUUGUGAGUUCAAAGCCAGCUUCAGCAAAAGUGAGGCACUAAGCAACUCAGUGAGACCCUGUCUCUAAAUAAAAUGCAAAAUAGAGCUGGGGAUGUGGCUCAGUGGAAAAGUGUCCCUGAGUUCAAUCUCUGGUAACUAACUAAAUAAAUGAAGAAAUCCAGUAAGUUGUUAAUAAUAGGAACAGGAUAGGAUCCAACAGGAAGCACAGGGAGGCUUUGAAAGAUGAGAUGAGCAGAGAAACGGAAGGUCCCCCGAAGUCCUCAGAUGUCCUGACAGGCAAUGGGGCUGUGCAGGGUGCAGGAAGCCUGACAGCAGGGGGCAGACCCUGGGUAUUGGACAGGGGUUCAAGGGCAGAACAGCAGAUGCUGGAGCAAAUAGAGCUGGCUGGGGCACAAUUCACAGUUCUGGCUCUGCCCUUUCCAACUUACCUCCUGAGUUUCAGUUUCUUUAUCUGUGAGAUGGGAAUGAUAAUAUUCCCUUCUUCAAAGGUAGAAAUGAUAACCAAGAUAAAAAUGAAGCACCCUCUGUGAUUCUCAGUGUUGAGGAAACGUCUGAUGGGCAGAUUGCUAUACUUUGAAGACACUGUCUCAGGCACAGGGACUAGGUUAUUACCACAGGAAGCCAAAUAAAGAGUCCAAGGGGCAGCAUCCUAAAAUUCCUUCUGAGAUCAGUAUUUGUUAGAAACUGAAGGUGAUUAAAUGACAUCAGUCUCCUACAGAAGGGUGGCUAAAGCAGGGGGGACAAGCAGGUACUGCUAUUUUUAUGGAUAAGUUUUAGAAUUCUGACUUUGUACAGCCGAAAGUCUCAUUCAGGGCUUUGACUUCCAGUCUGAUGCCUUUUCAAUGACAUGGUGCUGCUGGCAAAUAAGCACUUGACAAAAUAUGUAUCACCAUGUCAAUGGCACAUGCACUAUAGUAAUUUUAAAACAUUUUUGCAAAUUCUUUGACAUUCCUCUCAUUAAAGGGUAGCAUUGAUUACUCUCCUCUUGAACAUGGACCACCCUUGUUCCUCAUGUAGAGAAUGCUGUAAAAGUGGUCUUCUAAGAUGGUUAGAAAGGGUGAGACAGCUGCUGCCCACCUCCCUCUCUCAGGAUGCUUGCCCUUGGAACGAAUCACCAUGUUAGGAGGGAGCUCAGGCUACUAGAGGAGCCACAUGAAGUUUUGAACUAACAGCCCCAGCUAAGGUCCUAACUGACAGGUUCACUUGCCAGACAAAUGAAUGAAUGAGAGAGACCAGAUGAUUUGGUUCUAGCAUUCAAGCUGCUCCAGCUGACAUCAACUGGCGUAGGGAUGAGCUGUCCCCAGCAAGCCCUGCCUAAACUGAUGUUUCUGAGAAAAAUAAAUGCUGUUGUUUUAAGCUUUUAAGUUGUGAGGUGGUUUGUUAUGCAGCAAGAAACAAAUGGAACAUGCGCAUCCAUGGCCGGCUGAGCACAAAACAGAAGCAGCCGGCGUAGUUUUAAGAGCUUGUGUUCUGAAAUCAGACACUCACUUCUCAAAUUUUGGCUCUAUUGGCAAGUGUCAUAGCUCUUGAGACUGUUUUGUCCUCUGGAAGAUGGUGAUAAUAGCCAUAUUAAACUUAUGGGUGUUGCAUUAAUUUGCUUGAGAGUCAGCAAAAUACCACAGGCUGGGUAGCUUAAACAACAGAAAUUCGUUCAUUAUGGAGACUGAAAUGUUAUGUCACACGACUAAACUGAUCAGGCUCACUCCAAAUGAAUUUGGGGACUAAAUAAAGACACAGACACAGAAAGUACCUUUUCUUUGGGUUCAGUGAUGGCUCCUCAGCCGCAGCUCCCACAAGGUGGGCAAGGCAGGCUCAAGAAAGAGAAGAAGGAGCACGUGCUGAACCCUUUUAUUGGGGAGAAGCCAUUCAAAUGAAUCAAGGGGUCAGGUUUCAGAGAGUUGAGUCUAGCCUUCUGAUAUCUUGCUGUCAGUAGGUUGACUGACAUCUAGGAAGGCCACAGCCAUCUCGUGCUAGGUGGGGAUCAUAGGCAGAACAAGAGAAAAGAAGCUUACAUUGCCCACCCAAACAGAGAGGCAACGUUGGUGUAGGUUCAGUCCACCCUGUGCGCUCAGUGCUCACAGUUCACACACACACAGCCCACGGCUGGCUGGCCACACCUCCACAUUCUCGUUGUUCAAGGCUGAGGGGCAUGCGGUUCCUAUGCUACAGCUCCCAACACUGAAAGUCCAAGUCCAAAAUGGAGAUGUCAAGUCAAGAUCAGUGUUUUUUUUUCCUUCCCAGGACUCUUUCCUUGGCUUGCAGAUGGCCUCCUCCUUGCUGUGGUCUCUUCUCUCCGUAUAUACGUCUGUUUCCAUAUUUCCUCUUCUUAUAAGGACACCAGCCAUACUGGAUCAGGACCUCAUUCUAACCUCAUCAUAUUUUUAAAGAGCUUAUCUUCAAAUACAAUCACAUUUCAGGAGUAUUGAGAGUUUAGGACUUUAAUGUGAAUUUUGGAAGGAACAUAAUGUAGACUGUAAUUGCUAUUAUAUGAGGAUUAAAUAAGGUAAAAAAAUAUACAUAAUAGGUUAGUGGUAAACCCAAGGUAAGUGUUUAAUAAAUAAACACUUAUUUUAUAUAUGUAAUAGGACACUUAUAUGGUUACCUGGCACAUAGAAAAAAGAGUUACUUACCUGGCACAUAGAAAAAAGAGUCAACACUACCCUGUAGGUCCUAGUGGGAAUCCUGUCUUUGUCUCAUUUGGAUGAUAAGAGAAGGCCAGUCCUCUACUAAGCAUAGUAUGUCUCUCUGUUAUCCAGCCUGGCCCUCAGCUUUGCGAUGGUGGCAAGAGAGAGGCUGAGAAGUCCCCUCUGAAGGGAGGAAACAGCUUUAUUUCCUGACUCUCCAGAGACAUCUGCUUGAAUUGUGGGGCCCCGGGAAGCGCACUCCUCAAGCCUGGGAGAAGGGAUCCCAGGUGAGGGCAGGCCGUAGUGGUGUGGAAGCCAGAAGCUGCUGUCUGACGUGGCCUGGGUGUUCCAGAACUGACCCUUGGAGUGGUUCCCGCUGGAGGCAAUUUGGAAAAGGUAUUGGAGAGAGAAAAGUCCGGAUUCAGAAAACCUUUCUGCCAAGUCCUUUGUUUUCCUAAUGUUGCCGCAGUGUCUGGAGCUGAAUUUUUAAAAUGGCAUUUUCCUGGAAAGGAAUUUUUGGUCUUUUUUGGAAAUGUCUCAUGUAAAACAAGAUCACCAGUGAGCUGUGGGGUCUGAUCUCCUGGGGGCAACCCUGGGAAACGGCAGGUUGGGGAGGGACUCUUGGGGGUGAGAAAAGGAACAAAAACAGAGUUGGAUGGAGAGCAAGACGUGACAAAGGGGCCAACGUUCCCAAGUUAGAAAUAGACUCAGGGCUCAGAUUCAUUCCAAGGAGGUCAGGCAUCAUGGUGGGGAGGAGGGAGGGAAGGGGUCCUGGCAUGAAUCUGUCGGAAUGUCCCAAGAGCCCUUGGCGUAGCGCUCACAGUCUCCAUCCACCCCAGAAAUGGAUCUGCUCCUGGGUCUGCCAUUUCCUUCCCUCCCUGGUCUUGUAUGUGAGAGGGCGGAACCACACAGCAGGGGCCACGUCUCCACCAUCAGAUUGAAUUUUCUUUCUAAAGAGAGGAGUUAUGCACAUUCCUUCUAGAAGCUCCAAGAAGGCUGAGUUGUGUCUUCCCAUCCAACUGGAGGGUUCUCGAGGGCGGAGACCAUGUCCCUCCUCUAUCUAAGGACCCCUAGAGUUGGAGACUUCGAACCCUUCCUCCCCUGUUUUGCUGAAACAGAGAAGGGCCUGGUUUAUAGGUCUGUCUGACCCAGUGACCGGCUCCCCUCUGCUCCCACUCUUGCCUCUCCUCCCUUGUAAACAUCACAGGCAAGACGUGCUGACCAAAAGUCCUGCUACAGGCUGCUUUGUCACCACCUCCCUCCAGGCCUGGGGCCAGAGCAGUGACUGUGGCCAAGUGGAAUUGCUGGGGCAGGAAGGAUCUUGGAAGUGCUCUGUGGAGUUGGCUUCUAUCCUCUGGGCUUUGCUGUUACUCUUCUGUCUUGGCCUCUCUUCCCCAGCCUCUGAUCUCCUGGGUCUGCGGUGACUCUGGGACUCCAAAUGGGGUAAGAGUCAAAAGCAGGAGAAUGGGCAUCUGAAUCCAAGCCACUUGAGAAAUGAUUUUAUCCAUGUUCUUGUCUGUAUUGUGCCAGGCUGUGCUUUAGGCAUGGGGUACAUGGUGUUGAACAGGACAGAUGUGGGGCUAACUGUCUGAUAUGUUGAUAUUUGGACAAUCGUCUCAUUAAGUGAUUGUAUAAAUUCUGCUUUAAGCCUUCAUGCUUUUGGAACUUUCCCUCCCUCCUAAGGCAACCUGUAUAAAUUUUGGAAAGGUUUGAAAAUCAAAGAAGUUCCUCUGUUGAUUGAAUCAACAUUGUUCCCCUCUGUCGCUUCCAUUCAUGGUCACAACCUGUUUUCAGACCUACCCAGGACAAGUUCUUUCUCUUUCUCCUGAAAAUCUCUAUGAUAACAGAUGUUGUGGUUUGGAUGCGAAAUGUCUCCCCAAAAACUCAUGUAUUAAAAGCACGGUUCCCCAAUAAAGCAAGGUUCAGAGGUGACAUUUUUAGGUAAUGAUUAAAUUGCUUUCUAUUAUGUUGGCUAGUUUAUCAUUUUCUCUUACUGUUUUAAAAGUCACAUGCAUUUGUAAUUUCUUUUAAUCCUUUCAUUUUUAAACAUGCUGUGAAUGUUACCAGUUUUGAACUGUUUUGAUUCAUAACACUUCUGACAUCAAAUGGGUGGGUUUCCCCUACACUAAUAGCCAUGUCCAACUCUCUGGACACUAACCGGUGUUCCAGGCUUAAGGGCUCAGUCUCAGAAGAUGGCCCUCACUGCUGAUCCAGUCACAGUACUGGGUGACUAAUGGACCCAACACUUCAGUCUUACUUGGUUACAAAGUUGAGGUUUCCACCAUCCCAAUAAUUUGCUGAAAUAACUCACAGAAAAUGGGAAGUCGUGUGAUUUUCUAUGACUUUUUUAUGUGAAGAAAACACAAGUGGUCAGAUGAAGAGUUACAUAGGGUGGCACCUGGCAGGGUUUUCAAGCCAGAGCUUCUGUCCCUGUGAGGUUGCUGUGUGCCACCUCUCUGCAUGUGGAUGUGCUUGGCAACUCUGAAACUCUCUGGACCCCUUUGUUUAUGGAUUUUACAGAAGUUCCAUUAUAUAAGGAGGUUUAAGUCAUUGGCUGUGGGUAAUAGAAAUCAAGCCUUGGCCCCUCUCCCUGGAGGCUGGGGGUGUGUGAAGCUGAAAGUACCACCUCUCUAACCACACUUUGGUCUUUCAGGAGACCUGACAUCCUAAAGCUAUCCAGAGGCCCCCAGCCACUGGGUCAUCUUGUUAACAUACAUGACAUUCACCACUCGGGAGAUUCCAAGGGUUUUAGGAGCUGUGUGCCAGGAACCAAGGACAAAGAUCAAACAUUUUUUUUUUUUAUUAUAUCAUACUGUGCAAUUUAGGAUUACACUUGGCUGAACAUAAUAGAAAACAACAGAUUAAACAUCUAGGGGGUUAUUUUGGAGCAAGAAGGCUAGAGUUAAGUAGUCAAAGCACAUCAAGUACAGGUUAUUUUAGCCUCCUUUUCUUUCAUACUUAGUGUGUGACUUUGUCCUCUGUUCACGGUCACAAGGUGCCCCUGCUCCUCCAAGCAUUUUGUCCUUAUUCCGGGUAGGAAGAUGAGAAAAGGGAGAUGGGUAAGGGACAUAGCACACUUCCCAGAAGCCCACUAGUAGGCUUUUGUUUGUCUCUUACCGGCUGGAAUCAAAGCACAUUGCCACCUCCGUGGGAAGGGAGCUUGGGAAGGAAGUAAUUUUACCUGAGCACAUUGCUCACCUGCGGAAAAUCAAGGUUCUACUAUAAGAAAGGAGAGAAAGAACAUAUUAUGUUAGCCACUACAAGUAUUUAUAAUUCACGCAUACUACUGUAAGAAUUUUACAAUUAUUCAGCCUCUUAGAAUGCUCUUAUUCUAACCACUCCCUUAAGUUUCAUGUUUCUUUCUGGAUUUAUCUAUUUCUUUACUGUCCUUUGAUUCUUCCAAUCCAUUUCUUCCUCUCAGCUCAGAUUCCUUCUGUGAGUGAUGUAUUCUCUUGUCUUUUUCUGAAGAUGUGAUGCCCCUACUCUGGAGUGACAGUUGAGCUUGGCUUGGUAUUUUACAAUGACAGUAGGGUGGGUUCCUUCAGCCCAAGAAAUCACCCUCUUGGCCACCAUAGUAAUGCCAAGUCUCCUGUUUGUGUUUUUCCUUUGGUGAUCUCUCUUUCCUUCCUGGUGAUUUUUCUCAGUGAAUGAUGUUUUAUAGUUUCUACAAUGAGCCUAGAUGUAAUUUUCUACUUGUCUUGCUCAGGUAGUGCUGUGAAGAAAUUUUUAAAGAUGUAAUUAACAUUUAAAUUAAUAGAGUUUACUUAAGUAGAUUACUGUCCAUGAUGCGGAUGGGCCUCAUCCAGUCAGUUGAAGGCCUCAGUAGACAAAGAUGGAAUUUUGCCUCCAGACCGACUUUGGACUUGAGUGGUAACCUCAGCUCUUCCCUGGGUCCCCAGCUUACUGGUCUGUCCUAAAGAUUUUGAACUUGCCAGACCUCACGAUAAUUACAUGAGCUAAUUUUUAAAAGUGUCUCCUUCUUUCCCCACACACAUCCUGUUGAUUGUAUUUCCCUGGAGUUCCCUGACCAAUACAACAGGUAAACAAUGGAAAUUUGUAGAACACACUUGUGUUUGGUACUGAUUUGAGGUUUUGUUUCUCAGGGGUGAUUUUGUUUUCAUCUGCAACUCUGGAAAGAGACAAGUAUCACUGGGGAUCCCUGGGUCCACAAGUGGAGCUCAUAAAUUGUUUCAUAAUUUGAAGCAACUGUCUGUCCUCCCAGGGUCUCCAGAUUCUCUUUAGGGUCCCCAAACUCCAUCUUUAGCUCUUAUGUGGACACCAACACUCCAGCCACUAGCCAUAUAUAUUUGGUAAAUAUCUUCUUGGACCAUUAAAGCUUCAACCCAAGGUUCCCACUCUAACUAGAAGUUUCUUCUUUUUAUUUCUUGCAUACAAAGGUUCUAUUUUUAUAAGCUCAACUAUAUCUGUAAAAUUUUAUAUAUAUAUAUAUAUAUAUAUAUAUAUAUAUAUAUAAUGUAUACAUGCAUAUAUAUGUAUAUAUCUCUAUAUAUUAACCAGUAAUUUUAUGGGUUUGCGGAGGGAGUAGAAGUUCAUGUUAGCUCAGACUGUCUUAUUUCUGGAAACUUAGAACAGAAUAGCCCUUCAUGUUGGUUGAAGACAUGUCUUAAGUGUUUGUUCCUUACUAAGCCUUCUCAGUUGACCCUCACACAAUAAGGUGCCUCAUCCAUUCUACUUCUCUUCUGCCAGUUUGUUCAUGUCCUUCUUACAGAGCAGGACUCCAGCCAGAGCUGGGUUCUCUGCUAUGGCUACACCAGGGUCAGAGGCCAUUGUCAAUUCAUGGUCUGGAUCUUUAUCCCUUGCAAAGAUUUGAGGUCCCAGGUUUUAAGCUAAAACCUCACUGUAUUGCUAAAGACUAUGCUUCCCUAAACCUAUAGGGCAUGGGGAGGGGGAAAGAACUGUUAAGAGAGGCUUGGAGGGUGUCAAAGCAGGGCAGUGGAGGGGAGUUCAGGCACCUGAGUUGUGGCCCUACUUGUGCAGUCUUGCAGUGACAUUCAGCAGCCCUUUCUCAGGAUCAGGGACUUAGGGCAAAAAGCUGCAGGAGUCUGCCCCAGUGUUUUCUUAAUUAUUUAGGCUAUUAUUUGCUUUUGAUCUACUCACCCCCGCAUCCCCACCCCAGCUUAGAAUUUUCUUUUGUUUAGGCUGUUCCGUAAGUACCUCAACUCCAUGAGAAAACUUGCCAAUUUUCUGUUUGGUAUUCUGCUGUGAUAAGCUUGGAUUUUAUAACUUCAGGUCUUUUGUAGAAAGGUGGGAGCAGGGACCUGUAGUCUAAUGGAGAUAGUUGCUAAGUGAUCAUUUGUGUAGCGUAGAUCAGGAGUCACAGGAGUUAUCACCUCCAAAAGGGAGGGGAAGGGAGAGAUCAGGUAGAAAAAUACCUGCCAUGUGACCUUUUCCAAAUCCUUAAUCUCUCUGAGCCUUGAUUUCUCUAUCUGUGGAGAGGAAGUGCUUGACUUUGAUGCACACCCCUGCCACAAAAAGAUCUGAGCUUUGAUUCUUCUGAAAGUUGGUACUAUGGGGUCAUGCUCUUGGGAUUAGGUUGCGUCUCUUUCUUACUUUGUAGCUUUAGGUCUCAGAGUGGCUUUUCAAAAUUCUUGAAGUAAAAAUAAUUGCAAAACUUUUAUAUGGUGAUCACGACUGGCCCAGCACUGUUCAAAGCACCUUCUAAGACUGUCUCACUUAAUCUUCACAAUACCCCCAUGAGCUAGUUAUUAUCUUCAUGUUGGGGCUAGGAAAACAAAGACAGAGAGAAGUUAAGUACCUGCCCAGGAUCAUCAGGGCUAGAGUCAAAUGUGGGCUGUUCUGACUCUAGAGGCAGGACUCUUAUUAGCCCCUAGACUCAAGCACUCAGAGGCAGGGAGCUUGGGGGUUCAGAAAAGCCAGGGAGAUACUUUCAAAGAGAAAAAAACCAGAGGGAAGAGGGCACACAAUGGGGAUAUGACUCAGUCUUGGUGGGAAGAUUUCCCAGAAAAUAUGUACUAAGCUGAGAUCGGGGAUGAGAAGCCUUAACUAGAGAAAAAAGAUGAAAGGAACUUGGCAAGCAGAGGGAUCUGGAGAUCCCAAGGAAACAGUGAGAACCAGAGGGUGUCUGUGCACUUGGAGUUCAGAAGGUGACGGGGAGUAGGGUCUAGUAAGGCUGGGGAGGUGGUCAGGGUCCUGCCUCUGAAGGCUCUUUGUGUCUCUGUCUCAGGAUCUCUCAGCCUUAGCAUUGUUGACAUUUGGGGCUGAAGAAGUCUUUGUUGCGGGUCUGUCCUGUGCAUUGUAGGAUGUUUAGCAGCAACCCUGGCUUCCACACCCUAGCUACAAAAGUACCCAUGUUCUGAGCUGUGACAACCAAAAAUGUCUCCAGACAUUAGCACAUGCACCCCUGGGGACAAAAUUGCCCCUGAUUGUGUAUUCCUGAGCAAGAUAUGUCACUGUUUUGGCAUCUAUUCUUAUUAUCCAGAUGGACACUGAGUUAUGGCGUCACUUUCUAGACGUGAGUAUUGGCUUAGGGCUCCUCUGACCAGGUCACAACCAGACCUGACAAGGCAGGUACAACUUCCCUGAUUCCUUCCUUGGCAACGGCCAUGCUCAGAUGGAGUUAUCACCAUCCAAGUGGAAGAAGAUCAGAGAAGUACAUCAGGGUCAGAGCAGAAGCAGAGGUGUUCCUCCCUCCCAGUGUUUCAAUACAACACGAGAAUUUCCCAGCUUGCCCCGUCCUCUUCCCAAAAACACAAGCGUCAAUGCACAGUGCUCAACAAAGCAUUUAGUUUUACAGAGUAAAUGACCUUAAAUCAGAAAGAACAGAAAUGAGAUUCUUGGCAUUAAUGGGAAUAAUAAGCUGACUGCUCUGAAGGUCUUAAAUACUGCUCCUUUAUUUAUGGGAAUUUGUACUUUUCAAACUCAGUAUCAAGCUUUUCUUAAUUUUUUUGUUAAGUGUUUUCUGCUGCUGCCAAAUGGCCCAGGAAAUAUGAAAAAGAGUUGUAUUACCUAGCACAUUUCUUUAUCACCUGUAAAAUGAAGUUCUAGAUGCUCUGCCUGUUCUUUUUAUUAUAUGGUGGGAAGAUUAUGUCAAUACUAUAAUCUGGUCUAUUGAGGAAUCUUGGAAAGGUGACUUUAUCUGGGCCCUUUGUCUUCUUGUUUGUUGUAGAAAUUCUGAGUUCCUUUGCCCUCAACCUGUAAGUCUUUCAAAGGAGAACACCAUUUGACUAAAAAAAACAUAUCAUAGUUCCAGAAAGCUCAUCCACAAAGCAAACUGUGCAAUAGCUUUUUUCACAUUUAGUGGCCUGUUCCCCUAAUUUCCUUUACCUCUGACCUGCUAUUGCCCAUGAACCCUUGUAGAAAGCUGGGAUCCUGGGCUGGGAGCCACCCCUCAGAAAGAACCCUGAUCAGAAAAGCCACCUUGUCUCCUAGCUGUGAGCUCACUGAGGGCUGCCUGUGGCUCUGAGAGCCAGAGCUCUUUGUCCAGGUCAUAAUUAACAUCGAAGUGUCCAACUCUCCCUUUAAAUGAUUCUCUAUUUCACAUCAGAAAAGGCUGCAGAGUGGUCAACCAAAAUUUAGAGUUUGAACUUAAGAAAAAUACCCAGAGGUAUCAUCCACAACUGCAAAAAUAGUAUUUAUUGAGAAGCUUCUAGUAAGUCAGCCCUAUGCUUUAUCUACUUUAACUAUUACAUGUCCUCUGUGAGGUAAAUACUAUUGUUGUAUUCAUUUCACAAAAAGGAAAAUUGGGCUUAGGGAAAUUUAAUAGUUUUCUCAAGGUCAUGCAACUUCUAAAUGGUAGAGCUUGGGAACCUAAAGCCCAAGUGCUACCUCCUGUCCUCUACAUUUGCUGCCUCUUGGUGUUUUUAGAGACUAUGGAGAAAUUUAGAGGGGUUUCUUGGUGUUCCCAGAGAAAUCUAUCUUUGGGGCACAGAGAAAUCUUGAGAAGACCACAUCGUAAGUAUUUCUGAAAGAGUUGAUCUAAUGCACGUCUUUUGAGCUGUGCUGGGAUGGGCACAUUCUAAACUCUCUAUUUAAAACAUACUGUUAUUCAGCCAGGCACAGGGGCCCACACCUGUUAUCCCAGUGACUUGGAAGGCUGAGGCGAGUUUGAGACCAACCUGGACAACUUAGCAAGACCCUAUCUGAAAAUAAAAUACAAAGGCCUGGGGUGCAGCUCAGUGAUAGAGCACUGUGCCAAGCCCUGGGAUCAAUCCCUAGGAACCUCCCCCUAAUUUUUUUUAAAGCUUCAUAGCUGUAAAUAUCAGUUUCAUUCAUCAAGUUUUUCAUUGUCUUUGUAAAUGCUAUUUAUAAAGACCAUAUGGAUCCUUCCCCUUUGGCACUAUGGUAAACGAAGGUGGUGUCUCUGGGCUUCAGUUUCCUUAUUUUUCAAUGAGGAAUUUGGGCAGCUUGAUUGCUAGUCUCUCUUGCUUUAAGGCUUGGUUGUCACACACGUGUGCACACGUGAAGCCCAGUUAAAGGCCUGGUAUCCUAGUCUUGAAGCAUCCGUCAUGUUCCGCUGACUCCCAUUAUGUAGAAUUUGGUUUCCAGGUGGUUAAUUACGAUACUUGAGAUUUGCAACCCCAGUCAUCUAAACAGCUGGCCUCCUUGCAUAGUUCCCACCCCUCACUCCCCUGGAGCUCUAACCAGUGACCAUUGUGGUAAGCCAAAUUAUCUUGCCUGUUCUAGGGGGUACUCCUGCUAUUCCUGGGAGAGUAUUUGAGCAAGAUUUCCACUCUACAGGCUGAAGAAGGAGUCACAUCCAUCCCUGCCUUCCUGACCAAGGCUGAAAUGGGCUACAGGUAGACCUGCUCCUAGAGGUCUAUUCUAAGGCAUGAAUUUCUGUAGGACAAACUUGCUAUGGUGAAGGUGGAGAAUACCAGAAAGAAGGGAAGCUGGAAGGAUGACUCAUCUGGGUCAGCCCCAGGGGCCUCAGGAGAUGUCCUGCCUCCUCUGAGGUCUGUUGGAACUGAUCUCACAUGCAGCGAAAGAAGGAUUCAGGGGAGGAAGGGUGGAUCUAGGUGGGUGCGUUCACAUAUAUGAGAGAAGUGGGUAGUGGGAACUUAGGUUAGUUAUUGUCCCAAUAAUACUGAGGCUUAGAAACAAAAGGGAGAGGAAAAAUUAGAAUGAUUUAAUAUUGACAAAAGUAAAAAUUAUGGCAUCCUGGUGGGAGGUAAAAUUUGAUAGACUAUAUUAUAAAGAUGGGGAAAUGUUAUUGUGUGGUGUAGAGCAGGGGUCGGUUAGCAAAGUUCAUCCCAUGGGUCAGAAAUGUUUCUGUAACAUAACUUACUGUUAUACCUGCUCAUUCAUUUAUGUAUUUCCCGUGGCUGCUUUUGUGCUUCUAUGGCAGUGUUGAGUUGCAGCAGAGACCCUGUGGCAUCCAAAACCUAGGAUAUUUACUAUCUGGUCCUUUAGAAGUUUGCUGGUCCUUGAGGUAAGAGGAAAGAAUUCAUUGUUCCAAGUCCUGGAUCUACACUUGCUUAUCUAAUCUGCCUUCCCGAGUCUUCAUUUCUCAUCUGUGAAAUGGGAAUCAAUUACCUCUGCCAACUAACCACCAAACUCAUGGAGGACUUACGAUACUGAAUACCUUAACGGAUAUCUAAAUGUAAAGAGUUAAACAAAGACUACCUAUUAUUAGGGCUCUUUCAUAAGCAUAUGGUAAAAGGGAGAAGACAAUGAAAGUUGUUUUUUCUCAAUAGAGGUCAAGAGGAAAUAAAUAAUAGAUGAUUGCUAAAAAGUACAUUGAUUUGUGUCAGCUAAUGUAUACUUUUGAGACAAGCUAAGCUGAAUUAUUAAAAUUAAAGGGAAAGAAAUAACAGUCAUAGCUGUCUUGAGAGAGAUUGAAGACUGUCAAGUGUGAGGUCCAACGGUGUGUUGGGGCAGCCAGAGGGGAUUCAGGUAUUGGCCGAGCCACUCAGGAGUGACAGGGGGCUGAGGGGAGGAUUGGGGAGACAAAUCCAGGAAGCGUUGCAUGGGAUAUGUUUAUACAGUUAUUCAUUGUUUAUCUGAAAUGCAAUCUAGCUGGGCAUCCUGUAUUUUCCUUUGCUAAAUCUGGCAACCCUCCCCUAACCCAGAAUGGAUUUGUUAGGGUGGCCAGUAACAGAGCCGUGCCCCCGAUCACAACAGUGUGUCCAGAUUCUAGGUCCAGAAACUGAAUCUUAAGCAGAGACAAAUUAGGAUAGAAGGCAGAAGGAGGGGAUCAUCGGAUGGCAGGGUUCUAGGAAGAUCUUCAGAGCCACCUUGUUCUGUCUUUUCAGGGCCCAUGGAUCCAUUUUUCUUUGAAUCCUGCAGACUGUGCUUUUCACUUCUAAUCUGUCCCUUUCUGUUCCUUAAACUAGUCAAGUUAGUUUCGGAUGCUUCUCUUCUCGUCAAAGAGUCCUCACUCAUGUAUAUCCACACACCCCAAAGCAUAUUUGAUAAACUGCUGUGAGGACCAGCGCUAAGUGGACAGAGUGAAGGGAAGGCCAAGUAGUGAAGGCCUUUUUGAAAGAGUCCCCAGACCUAGGCAGAAAGGAGGAGAAGAGGGCACACUGGGCCUGGAAUCUGGUGCUUUUUACAUCUGCUACAACAGAAAGUAACAGGAGCCACUAAAGAAAGGCUCUUGAAAAAUAAGGAAACUGAAGCCCAGAGACACCACCUUCGUUUACCAUAGUGCCAAAGGGGAAGGAUCCAUAUGGUCUUUAUAAAUAGCAUUUACAAAGACAAUGAAAAACUUGAUGAAUGAAACUGAUAUUUACAGCUAUGAAGCUUUAAAAAAAAUUAGGGGGAGGUUCCUAGGGAUUGAUCCCAGGGCUUGGCACAGUGCUCUAUCACUGAGCUGCACCCCAGGCCUUUGUAUUUUAUUUUCAGAUACACAGCACACGGAUGGACACCCAGCAGUAGAUGAGCCCUGGGGCAGUUGGGACGAUGGCCUCAGGAGCAGCGGAAAUGCUUGAUGUUCUCCAGCCGUUACUGCCCCCUCCUUCCAAGGUGUUUGUGAACACUGAACAGCACAGCCACACAAGUCCUUGCCUCGCACGCUCUUUCUGGAGAGGACACGCAUGCGCCCUAACCAUCACUCUAAUAAUUGACUCUCAACAUGACUUAUCCGAUGGAAUUGAUGGAGCAAAGGAAGGGACCAUGGAAAGGCUGGAAUUCUGGGAUCUGGACAUUUCUCAUUUUAUGCAGCUCUGCGUUCUCAGCUCGUGAUCUCUGCGCCCCUGACCAUGGCCAGCCUGGGACAGAACAGCUGGCCUGGACCUGGAUUUUACCUUUGUUGGUUGCUGCCUUUCUUGGUGGCUUAUCUCCUUCUCCUCCUCCUCCUCCUCCUCCUCCUCCUCCUCCUCCCAUGCAAGAGAGCACAGGAGCCCUUGGAUCUGCAAAGAGGCGGGCCCAUCUCUCUGCUCCAUUCCACUGGAAAACUCAGAACAAUUCCUAUUAUUUUCGGUUCCCAGACCUUGAAUGUGUCAGGCUUCAGGUUCACUUCCUACAUCUCUCCCCGUCGCCCGGAUCUGCAAGUAAUUUAACCUUGUUUUCAUAGAGCGCAAAGACGUUCAGCUUGUUUACACUGGAGACAAAUUUUCCUCAAUUGACGCAAUCCUAUUGAUUAAAUAAUGACUUUCUUCCUCAUUUAAAGGUAAUUUCAGUUGGUUUCAUGACAUGGAGGAAGAAGCUGAAAGCCUUUUCUGUCUUGUGUAUGAAGGGCAGACUCUGAGGGCCGCCUCUCAGAACUCUGAGCAGGGCUUUCUCACCUGUUCUAGAACCUCCACAGGCAGGCGGCGGAAGGAGGCAGUGCCUGGACUCUGAGGAUGUUGGCUGAACACGGUCAGAUCAUGAUUGGGGGAAUUAAAGGGUGGCACUGGCUCUGGAAUGAAUGUCAAGGCUAGGGCUGAGUAGACGCUGCUUUGUUUUAAAAAUGCACUUGAUUUGCUUUCAAGAUUAUUAAUAUCUAUUUAAAAUGGAUCUGUACAUGCACAGUUUUUCAAGGUCACGUCGCAUGAUAGAUAGGAUGUGUCAUUUGAGCCAAGGACUUAAAAUCAAAGGGAAAGGAAGUGGUGUGUCAGGAAGAACUGCAGAGAACAGCACAUGUGGAAGAGGCUCCGAGGUGGGGGAUGAACAGAGUUGGGAGCACUGGGGAAGCCCCUACUUUUGUCUGGGCCUCGUUCCCCCUCGUUGGUAAAACAGGGACAACUGGAUCAGAUAAUUUCUUAGGCACUCUCUCCCUUCAGUGUUCUCUGAUACAAUGAAAUCUGGAAAUUAAAAAAAAAAAACUGUUUCAUUCCAAAUCCUUCUGCUGUGUAUUCUGAUAAGGAAAGAGUAGAGGAUGACAUUUAGGAGGAGGAGCCCUCUCUUCCAUCGCCUGUUAGUGAGGUAUCUGCAGUGCUGUUUGAAACUAGGUACCACUGUGUCCUAGGUGGGAAGGUAUAUUAUGCAAUGGUUUUUAAAAAAACUUCCUAGGGACUAGGGGUAGAGCUUAGUGGUAGAACACUUGAUUAGUAUGUGUGAGGCUCUGGGUUUGAUCCCCAAAGUUUUAAGUACUCAGUGCUUGCUGAGCACCUAAUACAUGCUGGGUCCCAAACCAGGAGCUCCCACAUAUAUGAUUUUCUUUUUUUGAUUCCUACAACGGGCUUCUGAGAGGGGACUGUGCUCCCAUUUGCCAGAUGAAGAAACUGAGGCUCCAAAGGGCUUCAUGUUGUUUGAAGUGUUACCACUAGAGAGCAGCGGAAUCAGUCCAGUCUCCUCUCUGCUUUCAUCACAGGCCCCUACGUUGGGCUGGGCAGUGGCAUGGGCUGCAAUUCUUGCUCUGCCCCUCACUAGCUGUGUGGCUUGAACAAACUACCUGACCUCUCUGAGUUUCAGUUUCUUUACCUGUGACCGGUUGACUUACCUUUGUCAGUUGUCAUGAAAUGCAAAACAGUAUCAUAUGAAGGUGCCUAAAAACACUGCCUGGCAUGGUACAGGUCUGUGUCCAUUGCUUUCCUCCUUAUCAACAAGAUGCUUUGGUUUCGUGAAGUUGACAGAUUAAUCGGUCUUACUGGGUUGGGAUCCUCAGGGCCCAGUGGAGAGCAGGGCAUGGAGCAGACACUCAAUAAAUAUUUGUUCAAUGAACAGAUAUGCAGUGCUUGUAUCUACAGAUGCCAACCAUCUGGAUACUUCAGAGUGAUGGAUUAUUGACUUUUCAUCUGAAUGCUGUAUGUCAUCCUGGAAUAUAUACAGCCAGAGUCAUCUGAAAUGACAGGAACACAGUCACAUCUCACUGAUGCAGAUUCAUUGGGGGGAAACAUGUAAAUCAGUGAGAAUCUGCAGGUGAUUUAUUCUUUUUAUAUAACUCUGGCUAUGUCCCUGAGGUUAUUUAUUUACCCUCCCCUCCCAUCCAUCUAUCCAUCCAUCUGUUCAGUCAUUCACUGGUAGCCUAGAGGUGGUCUCAGGGGCUCUUUUAACAAAACAUUAUCUGCAUCAGAGCCAUUAUUUGUAGAUAAAUAGAGCUUCUGAACUGCUUAUAGGAGCUCGCAAACUGUUUGUUCUCCAGUAUGUUUGACCUUCUUCCAGAACCCUGAGGAUGUCCUUCCUGUACACCCCUGAGGAAGGAUCCCUGUGCUAAUUUACAGCAAUGUUCUUAUCUGCAAGGGAGUGGGAGACCCAGGGCCUUGGUCCACUCCUCUGAAUGUGUGACCAGGAUGAGCUGCCACAGGAGCCUGGACCCUGAGUUGGGGAAUGUGGGAACAAUCUACUGGACCUAUAGGAAUAAACAUCCUAGGGUAAAGCUGGACCACUGUUUGAACUCAAAAGAUUAGUGGAAAGUAUCCAUUUUUAUUUUUUUAAGAAUGAUCUGGGAGGGGCUGGGAUUGUGACUCAGUGGUAGAGCGCUCACUUAGUACAAGCAAAGCCCUGGGUUAGAUCCUCAGCACCACAUAAAAAUAAAUAAAUAAAAUAAAGAUAAAAAAAGAAUAAUCUGAGGUUGGCUGGGCACCGUGGCACAUUCCUAUAAUCCCAGCUACUCUGGAGGCUGAGUCAAGAGGAACCCAAGUUUAAAGCCAGCCUCAGCAAAAGCGAGGUGCUAAGAAAAUCAGUGAGAUUCUGUCUUUUAAAUAAAAUACAAAAUAGGGCUGGGCAUGUGGCUCAGUGGUGGAGUGCCUAUACAUUCAAUCCCUGGUACCCCACUCCUCAAAAGAAAAGACUGAUCUGGGGAUACUGAGAUGUACAUGAUUAUUUAUCCCUACACUAAAAUGACUGCAGGAUCUAUGUCUUUAGGACCCCUGUUUGUAUGGUGUUUGCCACCCUGCGUUUUACAGCCACCCAUCACUUUUCCAGCCCCCAGUAUGCCUGUCACUAGCAGUUCAAGCCUUCCUGCUGACAUGCGGUCUGCUUCUAGUAUUCCAUGGGCAAAAACCAAACCAACCAAACAAAUAAAUAAAAAACAACUCAAAAAAGGUAAGUUGUUAGGGCUGUUCGUGAAACAAGAAUUUUAAAAAUCGGAAUGAGUCUGGGGGACCCUUCGGUGAGCUCCUGACAUGAACUUUGGAAUCUGGACUUCGUGAGGUCUACACUGGCUGUUUGGGACCAGUGUUCCCUGUUCUUGGUGAUAAGCUGGAGCAGUAUUCAGUAUAUGAGAGGUAACCAUGCAUGCACAUGCCUUAUCAUGACACCCUAUUGACAGCCAUCUGGGGAAGGGAUGCGCUUUAUUUCUCCAGGUGAGAAAAACCGAGGAAGAAACAAAAGGUCAGCCAUGGUUCUCCUCAGGCUUGGCCCUCGGGGUCAUGCUCAAUGAACUGGUGUGUUGGUGUGUUUAUCUGAAAGCAGAAUGCACUGGCUUAUUCACAGUUUUGAAGUUUAUUUAUUUAUUUAUUUAUUUGCAGUACUGAGGAUUGAACCCAGAGAGAGGCACUUUAACACUGGACUACUUCGGCCCUUUUUACUUUUUAUUUUGAGACAGGGUCUUGCUAAGUUGCCCAGGCUGUCCUUGAACUUGUGAUUCUUCUGCCUCAACCUCCUGAGUCGCUGGGUGGACAGGUUUGUACCACUGUGCCAGGUUUGAAACUGAUUUCUAUGUUUUGUCCAGAGCUGCUUCUUUCUUUCUGGAAAAUGCUGGUGUCAGAGAAGGAGCACUCAAUUAGACCUCAGCAGUCAGGAGCUGCAGACUUAGACCUCGCUCGGUGAGGUUCUUAAACUCUUGGAACUCUGUGAAACGCAGGGCUUCUGUUAAACCUGAUAUCUGCUAGGAUCCUGCUAACAACACCUUCUGUUCCUUUGACUGUCUGAGCUCCGAAGGGCUGACCAUCUUCAGGACUGGCCUGGUGGCAGGGCAGGUGAUGGUCUUUGCACAGUUUCUUCAGCACCACGGUCACAAGACUGGCUUUUGCGAGUGACCUUCCACGCCCUUCCUUGGCAUGUGCCUGGCAUCUGGGAAGACCUGCAGUGGGUGGGACCUGACCUCAGCUCUUCUGGUCUGUGUGUCAGUCCCCUUGGAUGCCCCUCUGCCUUUGCCAUUACCCACCUUCGAGCCUCUGCAUCACUGGGCAGGCCUGUCCCAUUCCGGAGCCAGUUCUGGCCAAGGCAGGAAAUAGAUGUGGAGCCUCAGCCGGAGACUGGAGGGAGGAGGGGCUGGAGUUAGGUCUCAUGUUUUCAAUCAGUAGCAAAUCGUGCCUCGGUGAAACCUCAGAGGCCAUGGUGGCAACACCACUCAAAGCUGAUAUUAAGUUGUGUUCCUCAGAUGUGGGAUCCAGAGGCUCAGGCACGACUCACAGGCUCCUGGGUGCCUUCCCCCUGUUCUCCAGUCUCUUUUGCUUAGCUUCAAAUGACGACUGGGUGUGUCAGAUGCACCCUGGCUUCCAGAAUUUCCUAUUUGCCCCCAUCCCCCAAUGGUGGCUGCAGCAGUUCCCAAAUCCAUUAUCUGACUACAGACUUGUCUGGUAUCCCAGACCCUGUUCCCCUUCCUUAAGCCUCCAUUCAAGAUUGGGGGGCCUCUGGGACUCUGCAGUCUUCCCCUGGACUGCUGGGUGGAGUCCUACUGAAGGUGGGCAACUCAGGGCUUUACGCCAUGCGGGGUUUUUCACGGAGGUGGGAGGGGCUGGACCUUCCACAGUCACCUGCAGAAACUAUGACUGAGGUUGCCUUGCACAGCUCAGCACCCUCAUGGGAGUGGCUGCCCAAACACACAGUUUGAACAUUCUUGGUUCCUUAAGCCUGCCUCUUUCAUGCCCCUCGAAAAGCAAGAGCAGACCAAUACAUGUCUUUGGAAAGAAUCUCUGAGUUGGUGGUAGAUCCAUUCCAUGAUGUGAGCAGGACUCAGAAGGCACAGGUCUCUCUAAAAGCCUCUCAGGAGACAUCGAUUGAUCUGAACUGUAACUAAAACCUGCUAAGUCCUAGUCUUGGAGACAGCGAUAUGGGAGAAGUUAUAGUGAUAGGGGUUUUGUUGUCUGAGCAGCAGAACUGAAAAUGGAGAAGCCAAGGCGGGUAUAGAAUUUGUCAGGGUGUCUGUGCACGGGCGAGAAGGCACUGAUCCUAGACAACAGGUGCUGAGCCUCAGACAUGGGGAGACCAGGGUUUGCUGAGAAUGGCCCAAGGAACACACAAACCCCAGUCUCAGAUUGGAGGCCUUUAAGAGCAAGUCCAAGCCACUGCUGGCUCUAGGGUGUCCCUCUGUGAACCCUGGAACUCAGGCUUAUCUUUUCAAGUUGAUGUUUGACAAGAAGAGCCAGGGACAGCAGUUCCCUCCUGAAUACACUGGGAGCCAGAGCUUUGGGGUAUGGGAAAAGAACUCUGCUGUCAUCCUGGCCUCUGCCUUAGCCAGCACCGUGUGCAACCUGCAACAGAGAAGUCUUCCUGUCUCCACCUCUAUGGUGCCGGGUCUCAUAUGUUGGGAGCAGAAUUUGGGGGACAAAUUGAGGACCCCAAGCCCAAAGCCUAAACAAGACCAGGUUAUUGUGACUAAUAUGAGUUGUAGACAGCUGGGUGCAGGGCAGGCAGGACAUGGAACUGUGUCCACAUUCUACUAUAACCAGUGCCUCCAUCAUUCCUGUGGCUGCCGUGUGUUGCCACUGUCAGGAAAAGGUUCACAGGGGUGAGAAUCUCUAAAACUCUUUGGUACUAUUAGCAGAGAACAAAGAAGGGAUAUCUCAAAGUCUUAAGGAAGAGUCUGGGGUUCAGGAAGUGGUGGGAACCGCACCCUCUUCGCCAGCAACUCAUAAGACUGCUGAUGGCGCAGCAGCGCCCCCUGGUGGCACCCACAUCUGUGAUUUCCUCCACCGCCCAGCUUCCAUGGCUUUCCCAGUUCUCUUCUCCCCUGAACUGCCACUCUAGUUGCCCAGAAUUUUUUCCUUAUAUCCCUGUUCUCUAUCUAUCCCUCCCCUCUUUUUUUUUCCUGGCAGAACUCAGCUUUUGUCUUUUGGAGCAUCACUGGCAAAACAUCCUGUAAGGAAAAAAGAGACUGAUAAAGUACCAAUAAGGUGUUAACAGCCACUAGAGCAUAACCAUCAGCACUGCGCAGGGCCAGAGCAAUGUAUUCCUUUCAAAGUACAAUUUGUCCCUCAAAUUUCCUCUAUUCCACUUCCAGCCUCAACAGCUACAGAUGCCUGUUUUGAGCCAGUGUCUAUUUUGGGGGUAGACCAUGUGCCUUGUUUUUCUCCCAGGUCAAAGGCUUCACAUUCGUGGCUGGGACAGGAAAGGAAUGGUUAUAGUAGAAUGUGGACACAGUUCCAUGUCCUGCCUGCCCUGCACCCAGCUGACCACAACUCAUAUUAGUCACAAUAACUUCACCUUGUUUAGGCUUUGGGCAUGGGGUCCUCAAGCUUGGCCACCUCAUUUCAUACAGUAGAUAAGAAAUAGCUACUCAAGUGGGCUUCCUUCAGUCUUUCCCAGCCUUGGCCUCUUAAUGUCAUGGUUUCUUGUCACUUGCCAUCCAGCUGUAGGGCUGGUGAGGGAUGUGGGUGGGAGGGAAGCAGCCCCCACACUUAGGAGGUCCAGUAUGGGAGUCCCCCUACUAUUCCAAAUAGGCCUCAGGGACGGGUUAAAGUCAAUACUUUAAAGUCAGAAGUAUUUAUUUUUCUAAAAGACAAAAAGUUAAAAUGUCCAAAUAAAGACGAAGCUUAAACUCGAGCAGAAAAGCUCUGGGCCUGAGCUCCAGUCCUGAUAAGUAGGCACUCACUUCCUGCCCCAGGCCUUCAUUCCCCCACUCUGUGGGGGCUGGGAUGCCCAGUGAAGGGUCUCCUCUGCUCUGGAGUUCCGUAGCUCUGCUUCUCUGGUGGUUGCAUGGUGGGCUGGCGAGGAUACAGCUGCGAGAAUGCAGCUUUGGUCGGUGCAAACUGGGUCCUGUCACCUAGUACCAGCUACUCAUGCAGAUCCUAGGCCUUUAUUUUUGCUGGCGUAAUAUUUUUCUAGUGUUUAUUUUGAAAGGUUCUGCAUCUGUGGUGACCGUCUCCCAUUUGGAAAAUUAACUGCUUACAGAUGUUGGUGUGGUGCAGCAUUCUCCCAGGCGAUGGAACCGCUGGGGUUUGGAUAUCAUUUCAAAAGGAAGAGGAGGGAAGAAAACUGCCCGUCGCUGAUGUAGGUGGCAAAACAUCUUGACCUUCUAUAAAACACCCAAAUGUGAUUUGCAUUUAGAAAUUGAUGGGUGGAGAAUGACAUAAGGUUUGAGAGCCCACGUGUUAAAAAGCCUGAAUUGAAAUGGUCAUUUGUGGGAUGUCUGUGGCCAUUUGUGGGAUGUUUGUAGAGGGCGGGUGCUGGCUGUCCAGCUGGGAUGAGCUGACUCUGAGCACUGUGCACAGACCUUAGAGCUGAGCCCUCACUUGCACCCCGCGUCCUGGCCGCACAGCCACAUGGUCAGGCCUUGCCAGUCCAGGAAGACAUUUCCUUUGGGGUCCAGGGGAGAGUUUUGGUAAGUGGUGAUGCAGCCUAGUGCAGAAACCCACAGAUCCUUCUGACCCCUGGAGUCCCAGGAUAAUCACUGCUCUUUACUGUCCGCCAUCUUGCCCUCCCACACUUCCUGCUUCUGCUUCUUGGUUUCUGCCUCCCCAGGAGCUCGCUUUUGGCCUCCUUGAGGCCUCUGUCCCCAGACCUCACCCCAGCUCCUCUUGCCCAUGCACAACCAAAGGACUAAAAACACACUUGGUGGGACCCAAGGAACCUCACACAGAGCUCCUCUCUGUUUUCUUAUUCCCUGGCUACCGCAACCCCAGCUCCUUAGCAGCCCCCAAGCCCAGGCCCAACAGGAAGGAGGAGGCAUGACCUCCUCUUUGCAAGGUGCUUAUGGCAUAUGCACAGGUGUGUGUGGCACAUGUGCUUGUAUCAUGUGCACAUACAUGUAUGGGUGCUUGUGGUGUGAGGAGCAGAAAGGAACAGCUCCUUUGCCCAGCUGGUGCUGUCCCCUGGGCCAGACCUCUUUCUUACCUGGUUCUGGGACAGCUUCCUCUCUGCUACCUGUCCACGUCCCUCUCUCAGUUGAAUGACUUCUUUGGUCUCCCUUUCUUCCCUCCAGCAGACAGAUUCCUGUGGCUUUUCCCUAGGAGAGUGACUGAGGAGAAAAGAAAGUUUGAGCAGUAGAGAACCUCAGAGGCCAUCUGGAGUUGCACCUCUGUGAAUAUGAGAAGUCUGCCGCCCAUGCUGUGUGGUCAUGUGACCAGCUCCAUGGCGGUAGAUUUAAACAUUGCAUGAAUAUUAUUUUGUAUCUUUGGAAAGACUUUGUUUAUGAAAGAAGCACUCAAAAAGGGCCUGGGGAAGCCGGGCAUGGUAAUCCAGUGGCCUAUAAUCCCAGUGGCCUGGGAGACUGAGACAGGAGGAUUGGGAGUUCAAAACCAGCCUCAGCAACUUAAUGAGGCCCUAAGCAACUCAGUGAGACCCUGUCUCUAAAUAAAAUACAAAAAGGGAGUGAGGACGUGACUCAGUGGUUAAGUGCCUCUGGGUACAAUCCCCAGUACAAAAAAGGGUGGUGGGGGGGGACAUGUUCUGUACUAUUCUAGGGCUGCUGGAUUGGCUUUAGAAUGUGAGGAUUUAGAAGACGAAACUCAAAGUAGAUAAAAUUUUUUUGUUUUUAAAGAAAGGUUAUCAUCAGAAAGUUAUGUCACUUGUUCAAAAUCCUGGGGAAUCAAAUAUGGGAGGAAUGAAUUGAGUGAAAGGUAAAUUCAUAAGAAGGGAUAGAAUUUUCUCUUGGAACAUGGUAACUAUUUUAAGAAACUGUACACCAGAACACCAGUUGGGUAAGAAACGUUGGAUAAGGAGUACUCUUUCGUUCCUUUUGGCUGUGCUGGGGUUUGUACCCAGGGCCUUAUAUACCCUAGGCAAGUGCUUUAUCACUGAGCUACAUCCCUAGCCCACAGUUGAACUCUUAAAUAAGGAGAGAUGAGCCAGAUGAGGUGGUGUAUACCUGUAAUCCCAGUGGUUCAAGAGGCUGAGGCAGGAGAAUCGUGAGUUCAAAGCCAGCCUCAGCCAAAGUGAGGUGCUAAGCAACUCAGUGAGACCCUGUCUCUAAAUAAAGUACAAAAUAGGGCUGGGGAUGUGUCUCAGUAGUGGAGUGCCCCUGUGAUCUGAUAUGUUAAUGUGAUAUGAUAUGUGAUAAAGAUAUGUUCUCAGUGGCUUCAGAGUAGGUCUGGAGAAAAUAAGAGCCAAUCAAACCUGGUACUCCCACUCACCCCGCCGCCCCCCCCCCACACACACACAAAAAUAGGAGAGAAGUGAUGAAUUCCUUUUGAAAGAAAGAAUGUGAAAAAAAAAGCAAGCAUGUCUAUCAUUUGGAGGAGCUAUGUAUAACACCAAGUGGGAGAAACAUAGAGAAGGGGAAAAAGAAAAUCAGAGAAAGGUCACUGAUGGAUAAUAAGACCUUGUGAAUUAGGGUUCUUUUGUGUAAUUGAACAAAGCUGGAGAAAAAGUUGUUAGAAGAAUGCUUUUGGCUGUACAGCAUUUGCAUAUUAGCAUAUUAGAGAACAAGUCUUUACUUCAUGUCCCUUCAUCAUAAAAUAAACAGAAGAUCCCCUUAUAGCUCUAAGUCCAGGACAAAGACAAAGAUAUUAACCAUUGCUUUCUGAGGGAUCACACAGAGAGAAUCUUCUCACUGUGCCGUCACCUUUCUGCAUUAAAGUGGGAGCUUUGGUUGUGGAUUCAUAACCUCUGUAGGGCAAACUGGUCAGACCACAGUCCAGUAUUUAAUGCUCCUGGUGUUUCUCUAAGAUACUAGACCUGGCUAGGGCUCAAGGUUUACACAAAUGUGUGACUUCGCUUUCUUCUGGCCACCAUUUGUUUUCUAGUUUAUUUGUCCUUGGUCCAUAUGAUGCCAAGCAAUUGGUUUGACUGGUUUUUGUUUCACUAAAUGGAUGAGACUGACCUCUUUGGUGUCCUGGGGAGACAGACCCCAGACUGGGGCACAUGGCUCACAGAGGGAACCAGGCUCCUUUUUCUUGAAGACCAGUUUGAGUGUGACUGUCUGUUUGAGGUAUUUUGAUAUUGCAGACCUGUAAAGAUAUGUUCUCCGUGGCUUCAGAGUAGGUCUGGAGAAAAUAAGAGUCAAUCAAACCAAAACUAGACUAGAGGCACUAGAAACUGGGAUUUAGGAACAGACCCCAGAAGGCAUGUAGCUCUGAAGCAGAACACUCAGGUGCUGUGGGGUCUUAGAGGGCGCUGAUAUGAUCCAGGCCAACCCCAGGGUCAUGGGCAACUGUAGGCAGAGCAGGGUCUGUGAGAGAAACCAGGUCCCAGGCAGGCUGAGAGUCUGGCAGUCUGGGCCUGCUCCAGUGCCUGUCAAUAGGGGACAACAGACAUCCGUAGGUCACAUUGGAAAAGGGCUGCCAGUUAACUUAGGUUCCUACGUGUCCAAAUGUGGCGUUCUGUUUGCAUGGCAUGUUUAGCUAUCCCAUGUUAGUGGCUACCCCACCAACCCUGAGUCCAACUGCUGACAGGUGCUUGAUGCUGAAUUUUAUAGUUACUACAGUUCUAACUAGGACAAGUUGGCCCAAUCCAUUUGCUAGUUAUAAAUGAUUUUACUUUAUUGUGUUGAUUUAAGACCAUUUCCUUUGUUCUCUUUUCCUAGUAAAUUGGUUUGGAAAAUUAUCUGUGAUAAAUAUCAUGUCCUAAAUCUAAAGAAAGAGGUGUAAUAUUUUUAAUAGUGUAACAUGAAAUUGUUCCCAAACAUCUAACCGAACGUUGAACAAACAAUAAAGCAAAUAGCUAUGGUGUGCUUACAAAGUACCAGGGGCUUUAAGUAUGUCCUUGUUUAUCUGACCCACAACAAUGCUAUGAAUCAUUUUAUAGAGAAGAAAAUUGAGCUAUAGAAGAGACAAAUAACCUAACUUCAAGAGCCAGAUAAGUAACCUGUCUUUUAAGAGUCAGAACUGGAAUGCCAACCCGGGCAGCAGGACACCAAUGUUCUAGUUCUUAACCACUCUGCUAUUCUGUUUCCUGCUACUAAAAUAACCACAAAAAUGACAACAAAACAUGGGCUUCAAGAGGUGUCAAAUUGUCAGCCUGUCUGUGUGUAUUGCUUGGUCUGGUUCUACGAGGCAGAAAUGCCCCAGCAGAAUCUUGGUGCAGUGACACCAUCUGGAACGAUGUUAAUAUUCUUCAGGCGAAGUGUGCAGGAUGGAGAGACUCAAGCAGAGGACAGUGGUGGUCUCAAGUGGACCCAUAGCCACUCCCAAAGAGGGUGUCCUGAAGAAUGCUGUGUCAGGGUGAGGAAGGGUGAGAACCUUUUCUGGGACAAGAAAAGUACCUUUCUCAUUAGGAAGUGCCUUUCUCAUCUAGGAGGCAGGGCCAGAGAUCUGGGUAGGAGGGCUCUAGAGGGCCCCCCAUGAGUGUCACUAACAUGAAGAGGAUGUCACUCUGGUAUGUCUCUUAGCAAUGGUAAAUGUGACCUGCAACUCCAAACUUUCACUUUCUAAUAUCGUUCAGGCAGUAGCAAAGUCUUCUCCCUUGGUCCCCAGUGGGACCUUGAUGACGUUAAUGAGAGGUAGCUGGGUUCUGAUGUGAGGAAGGCUUGUGAGCCAUGUAGACACAAGUAUCAGGGAAGGAUACUGAUUUGAAGCACAGGGCCUAUGUCGGUGGUGGCAGAAGCACUUAGGAAGAGGAAAAUAAAAACAAAGCACAAAACAAAACCUGACUGAACUUAUGCAAACAUUCAUUUCAGCAUAAAUGUUAUAAAUUGUUUUUUGGGGUGUGUGUGUGUGUGGGGGGUGGUUACCAGGGAUUGAACUCAGGGACACUCAACCACUGAGCUACAUCCCCAGCCCUGUUUUGUAUUUUGUUUAGAGAUUCUUACCAAAUAUUUUCCAGGAGUGUUAAGCACCCAUUUUCUUGGUGCUUUCUAAAUUCCGAUUCCUGGUGCCAGAGACACUCAGGAAUCAGCACAAUAUUCACUAUGAUUGCAUCUAGUGGCUGAGGAACAUUUGCAAUCCUAAACAACUGAUGUCACUCUUACAUUUGUGUACAUGUACAUCUAAAUACAAUUUGUAUGGCAAAGCACCCAUUCUUUACAUUAGUGGGUGACCAGAUAGGCUCUGGAUGCUAGGGUUGAAAUGCUUUGUUGCAAUUUAAACACAAAGGACGCUUUAUUUUUGUGAAAAUGUUAAAUGUGGUCAGAUUGAUUUUCAGAAAAUUAAUGUCUCUAUUACUUAAAGUUUAUACUCACUAUCAUUCACAUUCCUCUUUUAAUUUGAAUGGAUAAUUUUGAAUAUUAAAAAUAGUGUUAAAGUUAAUAGAGAUGUGAAAAUGAUUUUUUUUUCCAUUUUUGAUGAAAUAUAUUCAAAGUAUGUAAAUUUGGAAUAGAAUUACAUUUCAUGUUAACCUUUUUUAUUGUUGAGGGUAGAUACAAGUUGAGAUUGUAAAAUAGGAAAGUGAACCUCAGAAGCUGAAAAGAAACAGAAACUCAUCUGUGAGAGAAAUAAUAAAAAUGGAGAAUAACAGAAGUGAGUAGGCUUCUUUUGGACCAUCCCACAAAAAAGUUUUAUUCAGGACUUUGCAAAUUAUUUACUCAAUGAAGAUUUAAUUAAUGAUCAAAGCAAUGAGAGUGUAAAAGGGAAUGAUUUCUAUCAAAUUCAUAACUCAGAAACCACAGAGGCAACUGAUGCCUGCCUGGGAGACAAGAAAAUUCCAUUCCUGAAAUUACCCAAUGGGAGAAGAAAGCGAAAGGAAAACCUGGGGUCUUUGCUGUGCUUGUUGGAGAUGGAUUCUGGAACAUGGCUCUGUUUGUCUUUCUUGCAGCAGGACAGUGUUUCCUUAAAACACAGUCUCGUCCAAAUAAAUGAUUGCAAUUCUUGGAUAAACGUGGCAAAAUGUUUAAUAUUUCAUUUUACACCAGAAUGCCUUCAGUUGGAGAAAGAAAUUGUAGAAAGCAGUUUUUUUAAGUUCAAAGGUAAAAGUUUUUGUAAAUUCUGUAUUAAUUGUCACCCAUUUUGAAGACCAGCUUUAACUGGAGCAGGUAUUUAUGGCCAGAAGGGAAAUUCACUUGUUCACAGAAAAGCACACAAAAUUGUUUGACAGGAAAAAAGGUGAAGGGUGAAUAAGCAGGAAACAGCUAAUAGAAUUCAUCAAAUGCAAAUGAACACUAAUUAAAAAAAAUUGGCAUAAUUUUUUUUUUUGGUACUAGGGAUUGAACAUAGGGGUGUGAAACAACUAAGCAACAUCCCCAGCCUGUUUUUUUUUUAACAUUUAUUUUUUAGUUGUAACUGGACACAAUACCUUCAUUUCACUUAUUUACUUUUAUGUGAUGCUGAGGAUCGAACCCAGGGUCUUACAUGUGCGAGGCGAGUACUCUACCGCUGAGCCACAAUCCACUGGGAUUACAGGCAUGGCCACUGCACCCUGCAGAAUAUUGGCAUAAUAUUCUUAAAAUAAAAAUGCUACUUCGCCAAACAGAAUGAUGCUUUUCAGUAGUAAUAGGCUCUUUAUAGAAAAACAAUGAAUAGCUUCCUGAGUUUUGAAUAAAUGAUUUAAAAAUUUGCUGCUAAAAUGAUCAAUCCUGAAAGAGAUUAAAAUGUGAUUUUUAUAGAGGAUGGAGAACUAAAAAGAGAUUAUUAAAUCCAUGGAUAAUAAAAUCACAAAAUAUAUUACAUUUAAUACAGUAAUAACUCCUCAGUUCAACUAGAUUGUAGCAGAAUCAAAUGAUGUAGAAUAAUUCACCUUUAUAAUAUCCAAUGCUAAACUACUAGAAGAAGAAAAUAGGAAUUUGGAAUUAAUAAACAUUUUAUUGGUUUUAUACCUGUCUUGAAAAUACAGCUUUUGUUUCAACUUAAGCUAUGGUUUUAAAAUUUGCCAUUUUGAUUUAAAAGAUUGUUGAGGUGAGUUCAUAAUAAUGAGGCUCAUGAUUGUUAAAAAGAUAUAUGAUCCAGAACUUUGGCUGGAAAUAGGCCUUCUUUGAACUGUUGUUUGAAUGUUAACCAGGAAGUGCAGAGCUUCAGCUGUGCGGAUAGCAAUGGCAUUCCUUGCAAAAGUUCAGAGAUGAUCAUUGUUCCCCCAUAUCUCUCUAAAGGCGGAGCUUCUUGAUGAAACACAUUCCACAUCUGACCUCCGGAACACUCUGGGUACAAACAAGGGGAAUUCCAAUGAAAAUACCGUUAAAGCAAUUAAAUUUAAUUAGACAAGAUAUGCAAGACAUUAGCAAAGAAAAACAAUAGAAGAUCCUCAAAUAAAGAGCAAAUCUUGGGCUUUGGCAGAAAAUGAAAUUAAUUUUGCAUUUUGAACUGUUUCUAAAACUAAUAUGAAUUAAGUUUUACAAAAAUAAAAGCCAAGACAGUGAAGUGCUUUGUUUGGCUUGUUAAGAGAUUCUAAAAAUAUUUCUAAAAAUGUCAAGAAAAAUUGUUAGUCCAAGCAGGAAAAAGCUACGUGGUAAAUAUGCCGCAAAAGUUAAAUUCUAGUAUAAUACAUGGAAAAUUGAACAAGGAAACAAGGACAUUUGCAUUAAAGGAGAAGGUUUAUAUUUGUACCUUCUGGAAACUGGUUUCCAUAGACCAUCUGGUGGCUAUUCUAGAUUAAGGAGUCAUCUAUAUUGAAAAGAAAUAAACAAACAUGAACAUAUUGCUCUAUUUGGUUUUCUUUACUGUAACCCCAGUCAGAGAAACCUAAAAGAAGAAUCUAUGUAUCCAUCUAGAUAUUGUGUUGAGAAGCUAACAUUUUCUAUACAAGUGAUAGUAACCUUUACAAUAAAAUUAAAAUGUGUUUUAGUGAAAACAUGAAUUUAUCAUUAUAUGUCCCCAUUACAGUGUUCAAGGUUUGUUUGUAAAAUUACGUCAUUUCCAAUCUAAUUAUUACUUUAAGGGUUUUAUUGAUAAUUCCAAUGCCUAUUGGCUUAGCAGAGUCUUUCUGUAAACUGAAAUUACUGAAUCUGGCUUGACUGAAAAAUUUUGAUUAUAGCAACAUAAUGAGUGAUUUUCUAAAAUAAGGGACAAUAAAUAUUAAUUUUAUAGAACAAAUUUAUAAUAAUGCAUUAAUGAUGGUAUGCCUUUAUUGUACUAUCCACCUAAGACAUGCAAACAGACCCGUGUCAUCAAUCAGUGGUCUUAUUUUACCAACGUUUAGUCAUUAAAAAAAACUCACAAUGCUUUGCACAUAUUUUCCAUCUUGAUGUUACAAAAAUUAGAUUUGUCAAGUAAGGAGGAAAGGACAAACUAUAUUUGACAGUUUAAACUUAAUUUAUAACUUUUAAAUAUUUAGACAUAUGGUAUCUUGGGUGGGCUUGAAUCCUGGGCUGACUUCCAGGUGGAUGGGCAUAUAGCUUGGAGGAAAAGGUUUGGAGCUCACACCUGGAGGGAAGAUUAGGGAAUGAAUUUGAGGUUGAACUGAGAAUUCUUCCCUGUGUAAAGGCAGAGCAAACCCAAAGCUCUUUUCUGCUAAGGCGGCUGCUCUCAGCCUUGGUGGCCCAUUAGAAACACUCAGGGGGCUGGUAGUUUUCAGAAUGCUGAUGCGCAGGCCCUACUCUCUAGAGGUUUUGAUUUAGUGGUCUAGUCUGAGGCUUGGACAUUAGCAUUUCCAAAAAGCUCUCCAGGUGAUUCUAAAUGAGCAGCCAGCAUGAGAAUAGCUGUCAGUAGCUGAGCUUGCAAAUGACAUCCUGACUGGGUGGAAAGCUCUGCAGCCAGGUCACACUAUGGCCAGAUUUUGGUUGCGUUAUGUCAGGCCUGGGUGAAGGGAAGCUUGGCAGGAUUGAAACAAGAGGUUGCCAUUAAUAGAGAAACAACAAAAGGGCCUCAGGUUCAUUAGUUCAACUGACAUUUAAUGCACUUUUACAAUGUUUCCGGAAUUGAGGAUACAGAAAGGAAUAAAACACUAAUUCCAAAAAUGGGGAACAGAUGUAUAAACAAAAUCAAGAAAGUAUUACACAUAUUAUGGUCAAAGUGUCUACAGGGUACAGCGGAGCAUGAUUCCACGGGGGAAGGAAGGAUAAAUGGGGACCUAGGUUGCAUUGUGAAAGAUGGGGUGUUCAGGAGGCUUUGGGGUUGAGGACCAGGAGGUUAGAGGAAGACUUCUUGAACUGGACAGGUAGAUCCCAAGGGCAGGGAACACCUUGGGAACAGACAUAGUACAGGUAGUCAGGAAUGUGGGAGGCUGUGCUAGGACCAUCAGUUUCUGAUCCCUAACCUCUUUUUUUUUUGGUACAAGGGAUUGAACUCAGGACACUCUACCACUGAGCCACAUCCCCAGCCCUAUUUUAUAUUUUCAUUUAGAGACAGGGUCUCACUGAAUUGCUUAGUGUCUUGUUGUUGCUGAGGUUGGCUUUAAACUCGUGAUCCUCCUGCCUCAGCCUUCUGAGCUGGGAUUACAGGCGUGUGUCACUGCGUUCAGCCUGAACCUUUUUUUAACAGGCCCCAGAGCAGUAUCUUAGAGAUGUUUGAACUGGGUUCAUUGGAGGACUUUCCAGAAGAUUUGGUGACGUGGAAGCAGUCUGUUUCUAGAAUGUUAACUUUUUUUAAAAAAAAAUGUUUAAUUUUUGGUUGAAGUUGGACACAAUACCUUUAUUUUAUUUACUUUUAUGUGGUGCUGAGGAUCGAACCCAGGACCUCGCACGUGCUAGGUGAGCGCUCUACCACUGAGCCACAACCCCAGCCCCUCGAUCCUUAACUUCUGUAUGUAUUCUUCUGAAAAUCUCCCUGCUGAAGAGCAGACAGUUGAACUAUCCUCUCAACAGCCUCAAACUCUUUCUCCUCUCCCACAGUCACGGUCCAGACUUGCCACAGGUGAAUGGUACUUCUCACUUUUUGGAAUCUUCUUGCUCCCCAGGGUGUAAACACAGUGGCACCAAACUAAAGAAUUAUUUGAAAUAGUUCCAGGGACCUCCUUUGCUGAUUCAUCAAAAACCAAAAUCAACUUUCUGGUUCUAGAGCUCCCAAACAUCUCCCUAAUAGGAAAUCCUACUUAGAGUUAAUAUGCCACCCCUCUACCCCUGUAGAAGAAGUGAUAUACAAGUAUCAAAACAACUAGAUGGUGAUCUUCUCUGGCCAAGCAAGUCUUUCCAUGUGUUUCAUCACCUGAAAUCAGGGCAGAGAAGUUAAAUCUCCAAGGUAUCAGUUCUGCUCUGCUAGAAGAUGAGCUUCUCUCUGACUUCCGUUAUAGGUUUAAUAGGGGAAAAUUCAGCAAACCACUGAUAGAAUAAGUGACACCUAGUUAGGUUAAAUUAUAAAGGAUGUCACCACAAAGCUCCUUUUACCUUUUAGUUGUCAUAUUAUUACAUCUACAUCAUCAAAAAAUUCUACCAGAUGUUACAAUUGCUGAUUUCAACAUUUAUACUUAUUAUAAAGAACUUUAGAAAAAGUGUCUUCCAUGGUGCAUUACAUCCCUUAUCCAAAUGCUUUGGACCAGAAGUGUUUUGGAUUUUAGAAUAUUUGCAUAUAUACAAUGAGACAUCUUGGGGAUGGACCCAAGUCUAAACACAAAAUUCACCUGGGUUUCAUAUACACCUUAUACACAAAGCCUGGAGGUUAUUUUAUACAGUAUUUUAGUGCGCUCAUGUUUUAACUGUGGCCAGUUACACAAAGUCAGUUAUGGAAUUUUCCAUGGUGGCAACCUUUUGGCACACAAAGAAGUUUCAGAUUUUGGAGCAUUUUGGAUUUCAGAUGGUUCAACCUGUUCUCUGUUGAACCUCACUGUAACCCAGGGUUUUUGUUAGGUGACCCUGGAGCUAUCAUUCCCAGGGUAAGAACAGGAAAAUAAUGUCCAGACCAGAGAAAUAAAGAGUUUUAUCCCAGUCUCCUGUUAGUGGGUGCUAAAACUGGGAUUUUUACCCAGCUUUUUUGAAGUCAGAUUUCUAAAUCCAGUAUUCUUUUCAACACACCAUGUCACUCCCCUGGUAGCAGGCCUGUGAUUUUGCUUUAAAAGCAACACAGAAGAGAUGCACAUUAUUCCACUGUGUAUUAAGGAGAGCGAUCCAGAGCAUCCCCAAGGGUACUCCAUAAGAAGUGACAGCCAUGAAGAUAAGGGAUCUGAUGGAAGAACCAAAGUAACUUCCUAGAAAGUGAAUCUUGCUUGGGCAGGGGACUCCCACGCCCAAAUUGGAAAACACCUACAUGCCUUCAGCCCUGUGCUGUGUCAGGCACUGCCCUUAGGCUACCACUUGGUGGUAGGGAGUGCAAACAAGAGAGGGUCACAGGGAAGAGUCUUUCACUUCCAACAGCAGCUGUUCAUCAAAGGGCCUCAGUAUGCAAACUGGUCUGACUUAAUUUUUCUGGGUCAUUCUAGGAAAUGAAAGACCUGACUUGGCAGUAGGAAGGGGGAGGAGGGGCCUGUGGAUGAACUCCUCACGGGGGUCUCAGAGGCCUUGGAGAUCUGCAGGAUGACCAUUGCAAUGAAUGUCCCACAUAUUUGGGGAUACUUUCUAUUUCCAGUAUUUUGGCUGAGACAUAUAAGAAAGCAGCAGAUGUAGCACAUGAUCCAAAUGUGAAUCCCUGAUCCAUCCCUUAUUUUACUGUGAUCUUAGACAGCUAAGCAAUCUCUCAAGGCUGUAUUGCCUCAUCUGUAAAAUGGGGACAAUAGUACUCACCCUGAAGGACUUGCUGUGGCACUUGGUAGGGCACCCUCAUCUUGGGUUUUCCUAGGCUGGUCACUGCUUGAUGAUUAGGACUUGGCAUGGUCAGUGACUAGCACAGUAUGUGACUUACAGCAAGUGCUGCUCAACACAUGGCUGCUGAUGACAAGUGACCAAAGGGAAGCACUAGGUGUCAAUAGCUGGAGUCAAACAGACCUGAGGCCAAGCCCUAACAACUUAGUAAUUGUGCAAGUUAUUUGACUUCCUCUCCUCAUUUUCCUUAUCUGUAGAGUGGGGAUAAUUGAAAGUAUGUCUCAUAAGUUGCAGUGCAGAUGAAACAAGGAGAUUCACAGUUAGUGAAUGCUGGAGAAAUCACAGCUGUGAUGACUGUAGGUUGGCAGGAGGGAAAAGGUACCUGCACCUACUGGAGUCAGGCAGCCUGCACCAGUUCCUGACCUCACGAAUCACCAGCCCUCUGGUCUCGGACAACCUUUCUGGGCCUCAUAUUCUUAACUGUCACACAGAGAUAUUAAUGGUCAAUUGCAUCAGGAGUAUUGUAGCCUUCAGAUGAGGGGACACAUGGGAAAGUUUAACAUCCAUGAACCACUAAUUAAAUAUAAAGAAUUAUGCCCUGAUCCCUGUUGUUUCAAAUGCCUCAGUAAGGGUUCCUUGUGGAUCCACUUCCUUUCUUGGCAGGAAAGUUUCUUUUCAUGAGUAUCUUCUGCCCUCUGGUGGGAGAUAUUGCCUCAUUGCAAAUAAUUUUUCUGGAAAAGAUCAAGCAUCUUGGCUUUGAGGGUUGGAGGCCCUAGCAUACCUGGGAAUGUGGGCUAUGGGUAGCUGCUUUUGGCCUCUGUCCUCUAGGGCAGUGGUUCUCAAAGUGUGGUCCUUGAGCAGCAGCAGCAGGUGUUUGUUAGAAGUAUAAACUCUGGGGCCCUGUCCCAGAUAUACUGGAUCAAAAGCUCUCCAGGCCCAUGUGCACUGAAGUCUGAAACCCAUGUUCUAGGAACUCUAGGAUUUGAGGUUUGGAAGGGUGGGGCCAGAGAAGAGAGAGGAGGGGAGGUAACUUUGAGGCAAGUAACCACAUAGCUGGGUGGGGCACAGUGACCCACACUUAUAAUCCUAGUGGCUCAGGAGGCUGAGGCAGGGGGAUUGCAAGUUUAAAGCCUGACUCAGCAACAUAGCAAGACUCUGUCUUGAAAUGAAAAAGGGCUGGGGAUGUGGCUCAGUGUUUUAGUACCCCUGGGUUCAAUCCCUAAUAAAAAAAAAAAGUUAACACUGCUGAAAAUUUUGAAGAAUGGUGAAAUGAAUUCAUACUUAUCUUUUUCUAGAUUUACUAGUUGUUAUCAUUUUGCACCAUUUCCUGCUCUCUCUCUACAUUUCUUUUAUGCUGAACCAUUUGAAAGAAAGCAGUGGGAAUCCUAACACUUUGUUCUCAAAUAUUUAGCCGUCUUUUUUUUCAGGGGGGUGGGGGGCAGGACUGGGGAUUGAACUGCACUUCAUCCCUAACUCUUUUUAUUUUCUUGUUUAAUUUUGAGACAAGUUCUCAUUAAAUCAUACAGGCUGGCCUUGAACUUGCUAUCCUCCUGCCUCAGCUUCCCAGGCCACUAGGAUUACAAGUGUGGGCCACCAUAUUCAGUUUUAACAGUCAUUUUACAUAGUCACACGUCAUCAUCACCACUAGUAAGAAUAGCAAUUAAUAACAUCUGGUCUACAUUUUAUAUUCAAAUACCUCCAUAACAUUUUAUAUAUUUGCGUGUGUCUGAGCUGUAAUCAAGGUAUUUGGUCAUUUUUAUGUCCCAAUGUCAUUUGAUCUAAAGCAGCCCAGCAUCCUUGACUUUUUAAAAAUAAUACUGACUUUCUUGAAGAGUCCAGACCAGUUGUACUGUGGAGUGUCCCUCCAUGGAUUUUGUCAGGUUGCUUUUCUCACAAUGGGAUUCAGUUCAGAUAUUUUUGGCAAGAGUGCUUCUUUGAUGAUAUUGUGUUGCUUAUUGUUUCAUAUCAGGAGGCUCUAAAGUCAGGGCAUAUCACUGCCUCUUAAUGUAGCUUAUGUGACUGAAUCACCUGAUUGAGAUGCAUGAUCUUGGUCUACAUCUGGAGUUUCACUGGGGUAUGUUCAGCCAUUUCCUUAUUUUAAACUUUCCCCAGGAUUCUGCUGUGUGUGUGUGACUGGGUUGAAACCCAGGGCUGUGUAGCCUUCCUGUAGCUCUCAUGGAUCUACAUUGUAAAGCCCCCAUACCCAAGCAACAGCAACCACAGCGGUGCUACCAAGCCCCUCUGCCUCUGCAGCCCUCCCCUCCCACUGCCUGCAGCCCAGCCUUCUCCCACCCAGUGAAAUUAUGAAGGGCGACUCACUUCAGCCCCUUCACCCCUGAGACCCAGACCUGGGGCUGAGCUGGAUCCUCACCUCACCAUGGUGCCAGGGCUGACUGGUGGUGUCAGGGCAGGUGUCAAGAGCCUGGAGGGAACUCCUGGGGGUGGAAGGAGAACUGAUGAAACCUACCGACACCUGUGGUAAGACAGGUGCUAAUGUAAUCUGAAUGGCUGGGAGUGACAUUUCUGAAAAGAUCAAACUAACUUUGAAAAUAGGAAUUUGAAGGUAAUCAAUAUUCCCCUCCAUAUAGUGAUAGAUCUGUUGGUGACAAUGCCUACAUCCCAGCAUUUGUGUGCGUGUGUGCUGUCCCUGUCAUUCACACAUGCCACCUCUACACACUGAGUUGAUGGCAUGUAUUGAUUUGUAAUCUGUGCUUCAGUGGAGAAGUUAAUAAAAGUUUAAGUACCUACAGACAUGCUGGUGUCAGCAUGGAUGGAAAAGAAGAAAGAGGAAUCAUAAUUUUGGCCUUUUUUUGAACCAGUGACUAUGAAUAAGGUAUAAAUAGUUAAGGGGCUGGAGAAGGUGGUCAGAAGGCCUGGGAAUUUGACCAAAGUAAGGAGGCAACAGAACAGCUAUUCAGGGGCAUUCGUUCUCAUGGAUCCUGGGAAAGAGCCUCAGUAAAGAAGAGCUGAGAGGAGCCCGGCACAGUGGCACAUACUUAUAGUUCCAGUGACUUAGGAAGCUUGAGGCAGGAGGAUCACAGUUCAAGGACAGUCUGGCAACUUGGAGAGGGCUGGGGGUGUAGCUUAAUGGUAGAGUGCUCCUGGUUCCGUCUCUGUAACAUAGGAAGGGAUGUAACAUAGGAAGGAAGGAUGGAAACAUAGGAAGCUGUGGAAAUGUCCCAAAUUAGCAAGCUUGACCGUGGAUGUCUAGGACUAAGGUUCAAGCUGAUCGGCUAAGAGUCAAAAUAUGGAGGCAGUAGCCAUUGCUCUAGGCUAUGUCAGCCAGGAUGAUGGCAACUGUGCUCAGUUCUGCCUAGUCCUCCUGAGCUGGGAGCAAUAAAUGCUCAUGCAGCCAGGCCAGCUGUCUGGCUGGAGCCACACUGGCCUAAGCAAGGAGCAGGGGUAAUUGUGAAGGAGAGAUUGGGCAGGAGGAAGAAGACCUGGUCCCUUGUACGAUCUCUGUAGAUCUUUCCUCCUACAUUUGUCCCCUCCUGCCUCACGUCUCAGACUGCCUCCAUAGAACUUCAAACAUGCAGGGUAUCCCUAGGAAAUGUCACAGCCCAACAAGAAUCUUUGGAAUACAUCACCUUGUUAUGUAUGCCCAUAUAUGUACAGCAUAUAGGUAAAACAUGAACAAUGCUUUAGGACUCUGUCUUGGCAGGUCUAAUCCCUGCCCUGUUGGUGAUUAGCUGUGUACUUGCUUUGGGCCACUUGCUUCACCUCUCUGGACUAUAGUUGUCUUCUUUGAAGAAGAGUGAAGUGAGGUGAUUCCAAAGAUGAGAGAAAAUUAGAGCUGGAAAAAAAGUUAAACGCAUCUGCUAUUCCCUUAUUUUACAGAUGCACAGUCAGAGAUUAGAGGACACUCAGAAGUCAAGUCAUGCACUCCUUCCUUAGGCCCGUGGGGGCACUGAGGUCCAGAUAGGAAAAGGUACUGACUUAUCCUGGGGCACUUUUAUCCAUGGCUUCUAACCCAGGGAGCCCGAUAAUCUCCUCAGAUCUCUGUUUUGUUUCUGUUUUUUUUUUUUUUUUUUUUCCUUUUCCAACUUUUAAAAAGCAACCUGGAGAAGAAGACCAUGGGGUAGGGGUGGGGGUGAUGGGGGAUGAACAUAGAACAAGUGAGGACCCAUCAGGUGAGCAAGUCAGCAGUGGUCACCUUGUGUGGAAUGGCAGGAGGCCCGAGACUGUGAGAGGGUGUGGACAUGCUGUCUGCUUCCUGCCUCUGUCUGUCUUUCCUAGGAGACUACAUGAGAGAAACUGAGCAUGUAUGUCGGGUCAUGGAGGCGUAUGUGGCACCAAGGAGUGUACCUUUGAGUCUGUACAAAUGGCUGAUGUUGUUAUGUUUCAAAUUGCUUGAGGUUGCAGUUCCAAACUGUCAUGAGAGUUUUGUAAACUCUUCUGAAGAACUGAUCUACAUUUUAUGUGUUUGAAUCACCCAGCUCAAACUCAGGCUUAAUCUAGAAUUUCCCAGAGAGGUUCCACAGAGUUUUAGUAUAUUUCAUGGAGUUGCGGGAGAAAAUGUUUGAAAAACACCAGGUUGACCAAGGCAAGCAGAUUUUUUUUUUCUUUUUAACUGAGUGUAAGUUUUAACAAUUUCCAAGCUUGGCAAGUAUGAAGAUGAGGAUGUGGUGUGCAGCAUACCCCAGAUGGCUGGAUCCCGGGACCUUUUCCUGGUGGCUUGGCAUCUCAGGGAGCUGGAGCUAUGAAACACCCUGUUUAAGCCCUGAGUAAUUUUUUAGUCAUAAAAAUAACUUUGAAGUUUUAGAAAAUAUUUAUCUAUGCAAUCAAUUUUAUGAGACAUGAAACAAAGACUAUACUUAAAGUAAAUUUAAAAAGAAAGAUUCAGUUUGGUGAUUUUUUCUAUGAUUCAUAACGUCUGCAGUGAGAGCGUAGGAUUUGCUCCUCCCACUUUUCAUUCUUUGAACUUGGCAGGUAUAUGCUUGAUGUCUAUUAUUUUUUGAUUUGGAAAUUUAACACAUGUUCACUCAUUCAGUCUUGUACCUUGGACUUUAGAGUUCUCUGACUGAGGGUCUGUUUUUAACAAAUUCUGUUUCCUUUGUUUAAAAAGUAUUUUACAUCACUUUACUCUUGAAGGACAGUUUUGUUUGGUGUUAAAUCUGGGUGGAUAGUUGUUAUCUCCAAAGUUCAGGUUCUUCAUCUAUUAGAAGUGGAGAGUAUCUUUAGUGUCUUCAUUAGGAGGUUGUUGGGGGAACCACAUGGCAUAAGCUUUCAGGGAACUAAUGGCAGGUGCUGUGACUUUCAUCUUCUCAAAGCCUCCUGCCCCAUAAGACCUUGAAGUUUGGGUAAGAUGAUAUAUGCUCUCUCAGAACAAUUUCUUCCCCAGAAGGCUCUACCACUUAUCGGCCUUGUUUUCCUUUAUUGAUUAUUAUCCUUGCAGGGAGCCUCACUAGAUAUCUUUCCCUAAAUGCCCCUUGCUGUCUGUGGCAAUGUAACAUUAAAGAUAGACUGCAAAUCUUUUAGGCACUGUGUGUAUUACUGUGCUUUCUACCUAAAAAGCAAUGAUUACCUCUCCCUCCCCACCCCCAAGAACUAUUUUUUUUUUCUUCAGGGCAAAAAUCACCUUCUUUGAGAAUGCAUGUCCUAGUAGCAUUAGAAAACUGGAACCUUUUUAAACUGAGUGUUCCCUAAAUGUUAAAGAAUCAGGCUUUGAACUUGGGUGGGCCUUGAAUUGAAUCCCUGCUGUCACUGACUAGCUGUGUUAUGAUAGGCAACCUACUUAAGCUUUCCAAGCCUGUUUUAGAAUACAGUGACAAUAAUUAAAUGAUCAUUUAGUAUAGGGCCUAGAUAUAGUAAGUAUUCAAUAACUAUUUGUUAUUAAUAAACAUUUCCAAAAGAGUCUGUAUUCCUUAUUUUAAUUUUUUAUUGUAAAAUGUAAACAUAUUUAGAUAUAAAAAAAGUCAUUUCUUUUUGUACCCCACUUUCCAGAUCCUAUUCUGCACACUGUAAGGCCCACCCCAGAGGAGAAUAGGCCCAUGGGGUACCUGGCCCAGUGGCCCAGUGAGGAGCAGCACUCCCUACAGGACCCAAGGGGACCCCUGGGGCCUGGCAGCCACGCAGAGGCCACCACCAGGAUCCAGCUACCUCGGAACACAUGUUGGCACCUCCUGCCCCACAAAGGCCUGAAAGAAGCUCCCCGAUGAAGUAUACCUUCCUUUAAGCCAGUGGUUCUCCAACUCUGUUCUUUGGCCGUACUGGCAACCCUUGAAGGUUUAUAAGCGCUGCAAACAUUUGGAGUCUGCCCAGAAUCUACUGAAUCUGCUGGGGUGGAGCUCAAUCACUGUGUUUUAACAAGCCUCCCAGGUGGCUCUGAGGCACUGCAAACUUGGGAACCACUGCUCCAGGAGGAGGGUCCCCUCUCACAACAGCAUGUGGAGGCAGGAUUGCUCAAGGGUUUGCUAAGACAGGGGCCAGCUGGAGUCCCUCCAUGGCGGAACCUGGGUUGGAGGUUUGGAAGCUUUGGACGGAAGUCAGCUGUGAACACUUGUCCACUCCUCAGAGGCCUCUAAAAUGGCUGGACUAAGUUCAAAGGCAGCCACUAUUGAGAAUUCAGCUUGGACCUUGAACACGACCACCAAAGAAAAUGUACAGUCUGCAUGCUGAAGAUCUUUCUCUACAGAAUGUUAUGUUUUCUUUUUGCACGAAAACCAAUGUGUGGUUCAGAUACAGUAUGUUGUAUGUUUUGGCCCCAAACGUUUCAAGAGUUAUUGCCAUUUACCGGAGCUGGCGACCUAUGCUGGGUUCACAAAAAUCUGACUACUACAAUAACUCAAGAAAACAGUGAAGAAAGCACACAGAAGUACCUUUUCAAAAUUUGGGGACAGCUCUGCGACCUUAGGGGUCUGUGGAAAGAGAGAGAGCCACUGGAAUUCUUUAUUCGAAUAUAGGGGAAACACAAGGGGAGGUUCCAUGGAACAUUCUAUCCAUAAAAGGGCAAAGGGUAGGGUUACAACAAACAGGUGGGUGUAAUUCAACCCACAUUGGGUGACACCCACUCCCAGAGCUGUACCUUUCUUAUCCGAGCAGAGGUAAAGUCCACUUGCAUUGCAAUGGGUGCAAUACCAGUUCAGUACCUCUUUACUCAGGACUUAAAGGUGUGUGCAUAGCUCCUGUUCAGGGCAGCCCCAGACAAAGAGUCCAAGGCUAAUUUUGUGCUGGUAAGCCUAACCCAGUCACAAUAAUGUUUUAAUCUAUGAAUGUGUCUUUCUAAGUAAGUUAAGAUAGUUGAGCCAAUAGUAGUAUACAUGACUGCCGUCCUCAGUGAAAGUCACCUCAUUCCCAGGAAGCAGGACUGAGAGAGGGGGAAGGAAACUGGGGAUGGGCCUCUCUUUAUUCUGCCUCCCAGGAAGUCCCCUAUAACACUCUCUUACAUCUCACUGGCCAGAAAACUAGCACUAACUACUCUGGGAAACACAGUCUUAUUCCAAAAAGGCAAAGAUCUCUGCUAAGUUUGACUCUGGUGUGGCUGCUGUCCCUUGUUCUGUCGGGUCUUAGAAAGCAGAACAUUUUCAACACUAUUCAGUUUGGUGUCCUGACCUCAUGUGGGUUUUAUGUCAUUGACAAUGGAUGUAUGCCUUUUGGCUAAUUGUCCAAAAUACUGAGUGGGCUAAAGAUGUGCCUAGAAAUUGUGUGAUGAGAUGUUAGCUCAUCUUUUUCCUUUUUUAGAGAAUCCUCAGUUGGAGCAGAGAAAAGGAGAUGGAGUGAAUUUUUUGGGGGGGGUCUGUAUAGAAAGGGUUUGGAAUUAAGUCAAGAAAUUGUCAUCUUUCUUAUUGGAUUGUGUCUCUGAUCUGCUGAUGUCCACCUCCAUUCUCUCAUGCUGCUUCUAUAAUAGAAUACCACAGAGUGAGUCAUUUAUAUAUAAACAACACUUCAUUGCACUCACGGUUCUGGAGGCUGAGAAGUCUAGAGCAUGGCCCUGGCCUCUGGGGAGGGCCUCUGUGCUGCACCAUAGCAUGGCAGAAAAGCAAGCGAGAGUGAAUGAGAUGGAGAGGAACUCAACUGAACCCAUCCUUUUUAUCAAGAGCCCACUCCCAUGAUAAUUAGCUCACUCCUGAGACAAUGGCAUUGACCCAUCCAUGAGGGAUCUUUCUUUUCUUUUUCCCAUAUUUUUUUUUACUGCUGCAUUGUAGAUAUACAUAUUGAUGACAUUCAUUGUUACAUAUUUGUACAGGUCAUCAAUACAACAAUAUAAUUUGGCCAGUAUCAUUCCCCACUAUUUCCUCUUUACCUUCCCUCCUCCCUCUCCCUGAUCCCUUUAUUCUACUCUACAGAUCUCUCUUCAAUUUUUUUGAGGUCCCUGCCCCCACUUCUUUCCCUUUUUCCUCCCUAGCUUCCACAUGAGAGAAAACAUAUGACCCUUGACUUUCAGAGUUUGGCUAUUUCAUUUAACAUAAUGUUCUCAAGUUCCAUCUGUUUUCCUGAAAAUGACAUAAAUUCAUUCUUCUUUAUGACUGAAUAAAAUUUCACUAUGCAUAUAUGCCACAUUCUCUUUAAGGUCCCACCUCUUAAAACUGUCCCAGUGGCAAUUAAAUUUCAACAUGCGUUUGGAGGGAACAUUCAACCCAUACACUCUCCUGUCUCUUCCUCAUUUUGCCGAAAGUAGUACUGUCCACAGACCCACCAUGGCCAGUCUGCAUCCCUUCUCCUAGGUUUUUCUGAGGAUCUGAGGUUCUGUGUGUUUCUGCAAGUUCCUGCAGGAUGAAAUCACCACUUCCCAGCAAUUCAACUCCAGAGUCUGUGUCCUGAACCAAGAGGCUUCAGCUCUAGGAGACACUUGUGGGCAUAAGGAGUAGUGGUGGAGGAGUGGGCCUAGGAAGGUCUGGGCCAUGAAGGUCACCAAGGGAAGAGAAAGAGUCACACAAGCUUCACCUUAUCAGGAAAACGUUUGGCUGUUAUUAUAGUUUGGCUCUGGAAUGUCCCUGAAAGCCUCAUGUGUGGAAGGCUUGGUCCCUAGAUGGUGGUGCUACUGGGGUGAUGUGAUGGAAACCUUAGGAGGUGGGGCCAUGUUGGAAGAAGUAGGUCACUGUCAAGUGCCUGGUUAGGGGGAGCUGUUUUUAAGUCACAAAACCAUGCAUUUGAAAUGUAGUAAUUUUAACCAUCUAACUUAUCUCCUUUUAUCCUUAGUCUUCCAAUCAUAGUGCCUGUAGUAUACUAGGUAAUCCAGUCAUAGCUAUAACCCUUCCCUUUGAGCUCCCCAAUUAUAAAUCAAUCACGUAGAUUGUAACCCUAAACUCCUCCUAUCAGAGUAAGGCACAGUGCUGCAUUAGGGAUAAAAACCUGGGCAGACUCCUGCCUAGUGUGUUUGCUUGCCAGAUUGUUUUUGAUAGCACACCCUUCUGCAGAAGUAAAGUUUGCUUUGCUCAGUAGCUUUUGAGCACACUUCUGAUUUCUAAAUGCCCAAUAUUUCUAACAACUGGGAAUGUACCUUUGUAGGGUAUAUUUUGUCCUUGGACCCUUCUUCUUGUUCUCUUUCUGCUUCCAGCUGCCAUGAGGUGAGCAGCUCUGCUCCAUCAUCUUCCCCCACCAUGAUACUCUGCCUCGCUACAGCCAAAAAAAGUGGUGGAGGCAGCCAACUAUGGAUUGGAACCUCUGAAAUUGUAAACCAAAAUAAACCUUUGCUCUGUUAAGUUCUUUCCUCAGGUGUUUUGUCACAAUAACAGAAAGCUGACUAACACAGCUAUAUGAUAUGAGACUUUUAAAGCUCCAGAGACGGCCUUAGCUCUGAGCAAAGUCCUGGGAUGGUUUGAGAUCUCUUUGGACCACAAGGGCCUUUGCUGACAUUGAGAUAGGAGUGCACAUCUUUAGUUAGUCUUUAUGGGAAAAUUUCCCCUUCUUUUGGGAUAUGGAUGCUCAGAUCACAGUAUAUCCCUGAGCACAGAGAAAGUCCUACCUUUGUAUUGGGCAUUGAUAUGUG
rnacentral:lncRNA from 1 species